rnacentral:lncRNA from 1 species
UAGAACGUCGGUAAUGACAAUAUAAAGAAAAGAGAAAUAAAAAUAAAGAACACAUAGAUUUUUACGUGGAAACCCUUUCGGGAAAAAAACCACGGGUAGAGGAGAAAAAAAUUCACUGUGUCGAAUUCGAAUGAUUACAAGAGGAAUUUCGACUACAUUUAUUUAUAGGUUAAAAAAAACUUAAUUCUAAUCAAAGUCAAAUAUAUUAUGUUAAUAAAUGUUAAAUAUAUUAUACUCAUAAAUACUAAAUCUUCUAGCAAGAAGAUAUAUUUUGUUUAACUUGACUUGUAAGCAAUCUCUUAGAAUUUGGGUCACACAACUCUAACACAACCCAUAAAAAAAUUUGUACAAAAAAUUAGAGAAGGCAAUGAGGGUCAACAAACUCAAUGGUGGAUGGAUUCAAGGAUGAAAGGAAUUAGGCAAGAAAGCACCAUUUUCCCCCUACCUUUUAUAGUUAUUAAAUCGUUAGCACCGUAUAAAAACAUUCCACCUAGAGUAGUUGUUAAUAUAAAUAACGAAAACUCUACUAUAGUCAUUUUUGUACCUUCAAUGUACUCUAUGGAUAGAGGAAUACAUAGAGUUGAACAUACUAAAAUAAUAAAUUGAAAGAUUUCGUUGAAAUUGUUCAUUUAAAAAUUUCCUGAAAAGCUAAUCAUAGGUUCUUCUCUCCAUUGGAACAAUAGGAUCGUUAUGCACAUUACAAAACUUGUUGAAGAGAUGAAAUAUAACCAAUGUAUAUCUUUUUUAUCAGAGGUUGAAUCGAUCAUUAGAAGAUGAAUUAGGCCAAAAAUUAGAAUACAUUCUAGGAAAAUAAAACUUCUGUCGAAGAGAAGAAAAUGAAAGGCUUUCAUAAAAAUUAUCGUAGAAUCGAGAAUGAAGUUUUCAUUCUGUACAUGCCAGAUCAUCAAUUAGUAACUGCAUCCAAUCUCCAAAAAAAUCACAAUUGUUUCAAACUUUCUAUUUUUAGAAUGGGAAUAUUUACGGAAUCCCGAUUAAUAGGAUCAAACCUUAUUCCAUGGUAUUUACAUGAAAUUCCUCUUUCUUAUUCUUAAGCAAGUCCCCAAGAGAGCUUAGUUGAUCCAUGAUUUAUGUUUCAUCUUUCGUUUGCUUUUCGUUUAUUUCGAGAAAUAUAUCAAUCAAUUCCGAUAUUGCUUUAUAACUCCUUUACAAAUUGUAAGAUUACAAAAUUAAUAUAUUAAUAAAAUUGUGUUUUAACUCUCAAACUUAUCACUUUCAAGAAAAAUUUUGACUUUCAAUUCUACCAAUAUCCAAUCUCUAGAGGGGGAUUGCCACCAUUUUUAAUUUCAUUGAAAAAUAUUGACAAUGGACUGAUUGUUCAAGUCGUAGCAAUUUGUAUCAUACCCGACAAGUCAAGUGAGGUACACAAAAUUUUAAGUAAAAUUCGAAAACAAAAGCACUUGAAUAUAAUACAAACAAUUCAUCAAUUGAACCUAUAAAAGAAAAUGGAUCAAUUAAACCGACCCUUUAUCAGUGUAUUAUCUAUAAUUUUUAGAUUCCUCAUUGGCCUAUGGCAUUUAUUUAUCAAUUAAUCCUCCACCUAAUAAAACAAUGUUAUAUGAAGUCCAAACUUUAAUGCCCCUCUCAUUUCUUUUGUAUUCAUAUGCCUAAAUCAACUUUGAUAAUCUCAAAAUAUAAAUUAAUCCCAAUAUUGUUGUCUCUAAUUUCUUGUGUUCGUGGGUCUAUGUAUGCCUUGACAACCUCAAAAAAAUUAUUAUUUUUGUCCAAGUCCUGUUUUCCUGGUCAAUACAAUAUGCACUGUCAAGAUAAGGUCUAAGUAGACAAACCCUUGUAUACAAUUGGCAGAUUAAAGCAUAUAAUUACAAAGGUUUGAAAAGAACUAUAUCAUAGUUUUUGUCAUUCUCAGUGGUGAAUAAUAAAUAAUAAUUAACUAUUUGUCCUUAAUUCAAUGCCCCUUAAUUCAAGUCUCGGGUUCAAGUCUUGUGGGUGAAGAAGAUAAUUUUAAGAGAGCUUUGUACCCCAUUUAGAGAUCUAAUAUUCUAGCUCGACUCAAAUUUUAGUUGAAACCCAACGUAAUCUCCAUAGAAAAUUAUUAAAUUCUGUCAUCAAUCCCUAUAUUAUGCAUAAAUUAUAGAUUUAGUCUUUGUACUUUAAUUUGGUCAUUUUUAGUCCUUGUACUUUAUGAAUUUUAAAAUUUCAAUCCUAAGCAAAAGUUCUGCUAUUUCCAAAAUUUGAUGUAACAAACAUAUUAUCGUAUAUAUAAUAUCACGUCAGCUUGCUAUUUCUACGUAUUAUUUAUAAAAAAAAAAGUCAGUUAUGAAUUUAAAUUGUUAUUUAUAUCAAGAUUGAAAUUUCAAAAAAAAAUCAAGGACUAAUAAUGAUCCAAUUCAAUCUUAGGCACAGUACAAGGACAAGCAUAAAAAAUUAACCAAACAAUUUUAACUUCUACAAAAUAUAGAGUCUAAACCUAUAACUUAUCCAAAAUUCAGGGACUAAUAGCAUCAUUUAACCCCCCAAAAAAACCAUCAGUUUCAUGAUUACAAGUAACUAGGUCAAUCAGGUGGAGUAGAUUUUCCAUCUUAGGGGAGCGAAAUUACUUGAUUCAUUUAGCUGAUUCCUAAGAACUUGCUUGGUAUUUCCCAUCAAAGUUAAAUAAAUAUAUUUAUUUAAACUUUUGUAAUCAUAUAUAUAUGAUUUUGUACUUUAUGGAUAAAAUUGGUAUACGAUGGUCGCAAUAUAUUCUAUAAUUCAUCUAAUUGUUUAACCUACACCAUAUAUAAAUUUUAAUACAUUCCUUUCAUUCAAUUUGGAAGGUUUAAUUAUACCCCAACCCCUUUAUUUUUUGGACUUUAAAAUUUAGUCUCUUUACUUUUAAUUUCAAUAAUUUAAUCUCAUUACUUUUUUGAUUUAAUAAUUAAAGUUCAAUUGGUAAUACUAUGAACUAAAUAUAUGUUAUCAAUUGAACUUUAAUUUUUUAAAUCAAAAUUUAAAGAUUAAAAUGUUUCAUAUUUAAAUUUAAUGAAAAUCCAUUAAUAGGUUAUCAUUUAGAUUUUAAUUUUCAAAUCAAACAAGUAGAUAGAUUAAAUUAUUGAAAAUAAAAGUAGAGUGAUUAUAUUUUAAAUGCUCAAGAAGUAUAGGGUCUGAAAGCAAAAUUAAACCAUAUUUCGAAUCGCUUUCACCAGCUAUAUAUAGAAGAAAUUUAAUUAUGUACUAAUAAAUUGACAUAAAAUAAAGAAAUAAUAAAGGGGGAAAAAAACACCCACGAAUCAGUGUUAAAAUUAAGCUGUCCCUUUUGGUUUUGACAUUGUCUAGGAUUGUUGCCGUGUUGAACUGAAAAAUGGGUAAUAUAAAGACAUUAUACAGAAGAAACAGCAACGCCAUUGUUGUCAAAUUCUAUUUACUUUUUUGGUAAUAAUAAAAGGAACGAAAAGGGUAUAUGCCAUUUGAUGCCCAAAGCUCAUUCUUGGGGAUUUAAGAGAUUAUAUGUAUUUAAAUACCUUAGACUUCUCCUUCACCAAUCAACUCACAACUCAAUCACCUUACAAACUCGGGCCCUGUUUUCCCUUUUGCCUGUGCCUAGAAACAGGUAUUUGUCUUCUAAAGGUCAGGAAAUUCUGAAACUUUAAGAAUUUAUGUAAUAAAAUGAACUACUAAAGACCGCUGCAUGUGAAAAAUGAUGUUCACAUCCUAAAAUGAAAAGCCAAAACAGUUUGUUUUCAUGGUUGUUCAACUUGGGGCUUUUUUUCAUUUUUUUUUGACAUGGGAUUGUUUAUUCAGAGAAAACCCAGAAUUCCUAUGUUUUUUUAAUUUCUUAUUUGAUCUGGUUUCAGGUAAAAAAACACAGAAAUGGAAAACCAGCUUGGAGUUCUUAAUGCUUUGGAUGCAGCAAAGACACAAUGGUACCAUUUCACUGCAAUUGUGAUUGCUGGAAUGGGUUUUUUCACUGACGCUUAUGACCUUUUUAGCAUCUCUCUUAUCACAAAAUUGCUCGGUCGUAUUUACUACUUCGAUGUACAUUCUGCAAAGCCUGGAACUUUGCCUCCUCGUAUUGCAGCUGCUGUUAAUGGUGUGGCCUUUUGCGGAACUUUAGCUGGACAGCUUUUCUUUGGUUGGCUCGGUGAUAAAUUAGGCCGAAAACGAGUUUAUGGACUCACCUUGAUGCUCAUGGUGAUCUGUUCCAUUGCCUCUGGACUUUCCUUCGGAAAGUCUCCACAUGGUGUAAUGGCAACCCUUUGCUUCUUCAGGUUUUGGCUUGGUUUUGGAAUCGGUGGUGAUUAUCCCUUGUCAGCCACAAUCAUGUCUGAAUAUGCCAACAAGAAGACUCGCGGAGCGUUUAUUGCGGCGGUUUUUGCAAUGCAAGGAUUCGGAAUUUUAACAGGUGGGAUUGUUGCUCUGAUUGUGUCAGCUGCAUUUGAUCAUGCCUACAAGGCCCUUCCAUAUAAUGUUGACAAAGAACACUCAACGGCACCCCAAGCCGACUAUAUUUGGCGGAUCAUACUGAUGUUUGGUGCAAUUCCAGCUCUUCUCACUUACUACUGGAGAAUGAAGAUGCCUGAAACAGCUCGUUACACCGCCCUGGUAGCCCGAAAUGCUAAACAGGCAGCUGCAGACAUGUCUAAGGUCUUGCAGGUGGAUCUCAAUGCGGAACAAGAGAAGGUGGAUAAGAUAGGGAUAGAACCAUCCAACUCUUUUGGUCUAUUCAGCAAGGAAUUUGCCAAACGCCAUGGAUUACACUUGCUUGGAACAACCUCAACUUGGUUCUUGUUGGACAUUGCCUUUUACAGUUCCAAUCUGUUCCAAAAAGAUAUCUUCAGUGCUAUUGGGUGGCUCCCGAAAGCUGAAACCAUGAGUGCAACUCACGAGGUUUAUCGUGUNNNNNNNNNNNNNNNNNNNNNNNNNNNNNNNNNNNNNNNNNNNNNNNNNNNNNNNNNNNNNNNNNNNNNNNNNNNNNNNNNNNNNNNNNNNNNNNNNNNNNNNNNNNNNNNNNNNNNNNNNNNNNNNNNNNNNNNNNNNNNNNNNNNNNNNNNNNNNNNNNNNNNNNNNNNNNNNNNNNNNNNNNNNNNNNNNNNNNNNNNNNNNNNNNNNNNNNNNNNNNNNNNNNNNNNNNNNNNNNNNNNNNNNNNNNNNNNNNNNNNNNNNNNNNNNNNNNNNNNNNNNNNNNNNNNNNNNNNNNNNNNNNNNNNNNNNNNNNNNNNNNNNNNNNNNNNNNNNNNNNNNNNNNNNNNNNNNNNNNNNNNNNNNNNNNNNNNNNNNNNNNNNNNNNNNNNNNNNNNNNNNNNNNNNNNNNNNNNNNNNNNNNNNNNNNNNNNNNNNNNNNNNNNNNNNNNNNNNNNNNNNNNNNNNNNNNNNNNNNNNNNNNNNNNNNNNNNNNNNNUAGGGAAUAUGUCACUUUUGGAGAGAUUAGACUUGUCUAACAAUGGUUUCGAGGGUUCUAUUCCAGUGGAAUUUUGCAACUUGAAUAACUUCAAAUUUUUUGAUCUUUCUGAAAAUAAUUUAUCUGGCUCUAUACCAUCUUGUUUUAAUCCUCCAAACCUAGAGCAUGUCCACCUGCACAAUAAUAGACUGGGUGGACCAUUGUCACUUGCUUUUAAUAAAAGCACUUCACUAGUGACAUUAGAUCUUAGAGGAAACAACUUUACCGGUGGUAUUCCAAAAUGGAUCGGCGCACUUUCUUCUUUGAGUGUCCUUCUCUUGAAAGCUAAUCAUUUACGGGGAAGAAUUUCAGUCCAGUUAUGCACCUUGUAUUCCUUGAGCAUUAUAGAUCUUUCUCAAAAUAGGUUUUCCAGUCCUAUACCUUCUUGUUUGGGAAAUUUAACUCUUCCAAUGAAUAAGGAUAAGACCAUGACACCAGAUUUAAUGUCUCCAACAUUUUCAGAACUGGAUGAAUUGAAACUAUUAAAGACGGGUAUACUUUUCGAGCACAUGAUGCAUUCCUAUAGCUACAUGAAAGAAUCAGUAGAGUUUACCACAAAGAGUGGAUCCUACUCAUAUGGAGGCGACAUCCUUGAGUACAUGUCUGGGAUUGAUUUAUCUUGCAAUGAGUUAACCGGUCAAAUCCCACUUGAAUUAGGGAACUUGCAUGAAAUCCAUUCUUUGAACUUGUCACACAAUAAGUUGGUCGGAGUUAUACCCUCAUCAUUCUCAAAACUUAAGCAGAUUGAGAGUUUGGAUCUUUCUUACAACAACUUGAGGGGUGAAAUCCCAAACCAGCUGGUAGAGUUGAACUCUCUGGGGGUUUUCAGUGUUGCACACAACAACUUGUCAGGUAGUAUUCCAGAACAAAACCAAUUUGGGACUUUCAUUGAAAGCAGUUACGAGGGGAACCCUUUUCUCUGUGGACCUAUGCUUCAUAUAAGUUGCUCCAAAACCGGUUCAACAUCAACAAUAUCAGAUGAUGAAAGAGAAGAUUGUUUUCUAGACACAUAUGUUUUUUGUGUGAGCUUUUUGGCUUCUUAUGUAGUUAUGUUGUUAACAAUUGUUGUUAUCCUUUACAUAAAUCCACAUUGGCGAGGAGUUUGGUUUUCUUUCGUCGGGAAGUGCAUCAGCAGUUGCCGUUACUCAACUGUGGGCAAUCUUCUUGGGUAUUACAUCUUUAGAAGAUGUGUUUAGAUGAAUUUUAGGGAGUAUUUUGCUAGUUUUGCAUUUUGAAUAAAGAUCUUGUCUUUGGGGUAAGAAAGCUUAAGUCUGUCUUGUUUGUUUUAUUUUUGUAUAUAAAUAUUCAAUUAUUUAGUUGUUUUUCUUUUUUGAAAUUUCAAUUAUUAUCAUAAUUCUUUGAAUUAAAUUAAAUUGAUAAAUGGAGUAUUUUAGUGUAUAGCUAGAAAUUGCAUCAUUCAAAAUGUAGGUAAAAAUAAUUAUUUAUAAAUUUUAUGUUUGAAAAACUAAUGAAUGUUGAAAGAAUAGUGAAUUAUUAAAGAGAAGUUGUAUGAUAAUGGAUAGUUUUAAAGUAGUGGUUUAGUAGAAAUAAAUAGUUUUUAUAAAAAUAUUUCAUUUUUUUUAUGCUAAAUUAAGUGGUGAUAUCAAGUAAAUCAGGAAAUUUUAUAAUAAAAGAGAUGAAAAAAGAAACACAAAAUUAACUUUUAAAAAAUGUUAGUGCACGAGUAUUCAACCAAGGAUUUUUAAAUAUUUCUCAUAUGUAUUUAUGACAUGGUUUCCAGUUGUUGAAUAUAAAUGUUAGAUACAACAUAUGCUGCUCUUGUUGUGUCUUGACCUUCUAAAAACAGCGGAAAUUCUGCUGAAAGUGUUGUAUCCAAUGACAAAUGAGCUGUAAAUGCUGAUGAACAAACAAGCACUGGCAAGCUAACUUCACAGAACAUUUGAACCCAAAUAAAAAUGCAACAGGAGAAUAAUUCAUCUUGGAAAAAGAAUCGUUAAUAUGCGAAAACUUAUCUUGUUUGACAAUAAUACAACAUAUGUUGUUCUUGUUGUCUUGACCUUCUAAAAACAGUGGAAAUUCUGAUGGCUUUACAUUUGCUGAAAGUGUAGUAUCCAAUGACAAAUCAGAAGAUGCUGGCUGGCUUUGCAUUUGCUGAAGGCGCGUGGUGAUUAAUAUAUGAACAAGAACCACCCUAGCACAGUGGAUAACGCUAAGGAACUGUAAAUAGGAUGCAACUGGUGAAACAAGAAACAAUAAUAGGUAUGAUUAAAAUUAUAGCCUUAACAAACAAUCAAGACACAGCCCACUAUACUAUCUUUCCAUCCUAGCGAUAAAAAAUUACUUCAGCAUCUCCAAGCAACAAGGGGUUGCUGGUGGAAACGUUUAAUUCUUGGUUGGGGACUAAUAUAAUCCCUUGUUAUUGCAGUGCAUACGGAGCAUUGUACACAUUGAACUGGAUUUAUAAGUACUUUACUGAAGAGCACUUUGUCCACUGGGUAAGUAUGUUCUUCUUUCUCUGUUCUUCUGUCUCCCCUCGUCGCGUCAGUAGCCAUGGAUGUAUGAAGAAUGUUUGUACCAAUAAAUCAAUGCCAACACAUUUUUGUGAUAUUCUACAUUACAUAUGUUAUUUCUUAACACCGUGAUUAAAUUGGUGCUUGGAACUAUGGUUAGAGUUUAAACAUAAAGAUGAACACCAAGAUUAUUUAUGUAGUUCGAUUUUAGUCUACACAUUGAUGGAUAUAAGGGGGGCAGGUGGGGGCAAUGUUUUAGAAAUUUACAUAGCACCUCCUUAAGAUAAACUUUAUUACAUUAAAGCCCCUAAAAAUUUAAAUUUUGCCCCCCUAAACUCCCCCAAAAAAACACCAACCCCUUUUUAAAGUUUGUCCCCCUAAGUCGUAUUUCUGAAUCCGCCACUGAGUCUAUAUCUGUGGAGUCUUGCCCAGAGCAAUAGUUCACUGUCUUUCUUGUAGUGCAACUAAUUAUUUAAGUAUUAACCAGGUCUAGCACUCACCAAUUUACCAAUCUCACCGUCGUACAAAGACUAGAUACUCUCCCUCUAAGCUUCUGCCUCAAAAGUUUAGUUUUGCUACUCAAGAUACUCUUUUGAAUGUUUACAGAAAUAAUGUACACAUAAGCAAUUCUUUACUUAAACAAAUUUGUGCUCUAUCAAGUUUUUAAUCUUUUGAUUGUCUCUUAAUCUAGACAAAAGUUAUGUUUAUAUGCUACUUAAGUUCUCUACAAAGAAUGUUAAUAAUCAGCAUAAGACACUACUUCCAUAAGAGUUUCGAUUCAAUCCAAUGCCUUUAAAAUAUGAAAAGUGACUUUUUUUUGUUUGACAAGUAUUUUGCCUUGAGUUGUGAGAAAUCAAUCUCCAAAGUUUUCAAUUUCAACCCAAAUGAUCUUUAUGUUAUGGGCUUUACUCAUUCAUAUAUUUUCAAAAAUCAAUAACGUAAGGCUUUUAUUCUAAAAUUUAUCAACUCUUAAAAUAAACAAGUAAGACAAUGAAGCAAUACCUAAAGAAGUGACUAUUGGUUCAAGCACACAAGCAACCAUAGAAUCAACCUUCAACUAAUAAUAAAAAUUUCAAUUUAAAACUCAAACCUAGCUAAAAUAUUGUAUAUGGCAAUAAAUUAAAUUUCAAGCCUAGUCAUAGCUUAAAAUAUAUAAUUUUUUAAUAAUAAAUCAACACAAAAAUUAUAAAAACUUUCUGAUAUUCAUAUUUUUAUUUUGCUAAUUGAAUCUUGUUUGAUUGGUAUUAAUAUUAUUGUCAAUACAUGAAAACGUGGAUUUGAGGUGUUUAUCAUUCUAUUUAAAAAUUCGGGAGAAAUUAUGAAUAAUUCUAAAUAUUGUAUUUUUUUUUAUUUUAGUGCGGUAUAUAAUGUUAUCAUUAAAAAAUUGAAAUAUACUCAUAUUGCAUGAAAAGCCAAGAAAAAGUAUAAAAAAAUUAAUAUCCUUAAUAUUCAUAACUAUCAUUUUAACAGUAUCAAAGAAAAUACUAAAAUUUCAAGAAAUAAAAUUGUGUACGUAUACGUUUUUGGUAUCAAAUUUCAAAGGUUUAAAAUUCCCAAACCCAAUGUGACCGCCACCAAUUAAUAUCAAAUUUUCUACACCACAUAAACUUUUUUGGUCAAACAAGUUGGAUUUGACUUUACCAAUACCUAAAUGAUAGAGUGCGAAAGAUUAAUUAUCAGAUUUACGCUAAUAUUUUUGAGAAAUAAAAAAAAUCAAUAUUUUGAGUUAAUGAAUUACUAAUUUAAUUAAAAAUUAAAAGAUAAUUUUUUAAAGAAAUUUAUGAAAUUAUAUUUUAAUAUUAAAAAAUUAUAGUUUUAACUUUAUAAAAUUUAUUAUUUAUCUUUGAUCCUGAAAAAAGACAAAUUAACAUUAAUAAAAUUUGGUGUUAUUAUUCAUUUACGGAAUACAUUAAUAAAAUUUUUGAGUCGAAUUCGAAUAACUUGCGGGUACAAAAAUAUAAAUUAACCAAAUAUUAAAAUACUUGACCAAAAAUGAAAAGUCUAUUUUGAGCAAAGGGUGUUUUUGUGUUGGAUUAUCACCGAAUAUAUAUAUAUACCUCAAACGAAUUUAACUGAAUAUUAAAAUACUUACCAAAAAUGCAUUUUACCAUAUACGUAGAUGUAGAGGUGGCUGGGUUCGGGUCGGGCUCAGAAAAAAAUUUCAGCCCACUUCCUAGGCCUGGGCUCGGCCCGAAAUAUGGGCCUAAAAUUUUUUCCAGGCUCGGCCCGGCCUUUUUUAUGAUAGAAAAAAAUAAUUUUACCAUUUUAAUAGUCUAUAUUUUUAUAAUUUUUAAAAGAUUAAAUUAACCUUUUUUUAUUAUUUGAGGGGUAAAGUGUAAUUUUACCAUUACUAUUUUAAAAUUUUAUAAAUUAUAAAGAGUUAAAAACAGAAUUUUUAUUUUUAUUUUAGAGUAGAACUCUUGCCCAUGAAAUAUCAUAUCAACAAAUUUAACAAUACUAAUAAUUAAAAUUAAAUUUUAAAAUAUGAAAUAUGAAAUAUAAAAAUUAAAAAUUUUAAAAUAAAAAUAAAAAAGGAGGAGGGAUUGGCUUAGGGAAAUAGGAAAUGGGAAAUGAGGAGGGGAAAUGAGAAAUUUAUGUAAUAUAUAUUUAUUAUAUUUGGGCCGGGUCGGGCCCGGGCAAAAAAAUUUUCUCGAGGCCCGGCCCGUUUUCUAAAUAGGCCUCAUUUUUUGCCCAAACCCAUAUUUUGGGCCUAUAUUUUUACCCGAACCCUCUCAUAUUUUGGAUGGGCCAUUGGGCCGGGCCGGGCUUAGGAAUUUUUUCUCGAGCCAGGCCUGGACAAAAUUUCAGGCCCAUAUUUUGGGCUGGGUCGGGCCCGAGCCUAGGAUGCAGGUUGAAAUUUUUUUCUGGGCCAGGCCCAGCCCGGCCCAUGGACACCUCUAAUAUAAACAAAAUGAUGUAUAAUAUUCCAUAAAUACAAGACACAAAUAUAGCAAGAAUAAGGAAAUUGGUAUUUAAAUAAAUAAAUUGAAUUGAAUUAAAAUUAAUUAAUUAACUAAAUUAAGUCAAAUUAAACUAAUAAAUAAUUAAAUUAAAUUAAAACGAGGACUAAAUUGAUGUUUAAUCUCAAAUUUGGGACAAAAUUGCACAUGAAAAUAGGCUGGGGGACCAAGUUGUAAUGCGCAAGAAAAAAGAGAGGGCCAAAUGGGAAAUAAAUCCAAUUCCUGGGCACGCGUCACUUCCCUAAGGGAUUAGCGCACCAGGGACCAAAUUGCAAAGAAAAAAUAUUUGUGGUCCAAUUUAAAAAUAAAGAAAAAAGCGAAAAAAGACUAAAUUGAAACAGACCAAAAAUACGGAAGGGCCAAAAGAGAAAUGCCCCUUUUUGCAAAAACACGCGGAUCCCCCUUUCAAGUCGGGUCGAACGCGCGAGUAUGGGGGCAAGGUUGAAACGGCGCCAUUUUGGUGCAAAGCAAAACGACGCCGUUUUGUUCCGCGGUUGCCGAAAAGUAAAAAAAUAAGUCAUUUUUUGGCUUUUUGACUCCCGAGCCUAGAAAAGCAUAGUUUUUCAUCGGAAACGACAUCCUCGACCUCCCACGGUGCCGAAAAACCGAAAAGGUAAAGCCUUUCUUCCCUUUUUUGUGUUUAUUUUCUAAAAAGAACCAAGAAAAAUACAAGUAAAGAAGAAAAAAAAUGAAAAAAAAAGAACCACCUUUUGAAUCUUUUCUUUGUUUUGAUUGCUAUUUUGUUGUAUAUUUCGUGUGUGAAAAAAAAUAUAAAAUCUAUUGUGGCUUUUUAUAGCCGAAAAUACAAGAUUUUUUUCUUCUUUUUUGUUUUUUUCGUUUCUAUCCUUUUGUUUGUUUUGCAGGUACAAGAGCCAACUUUGGAGGUACGGAGGCUGACAUGGAGGAGUUGUGGUGGUGCUGACGUGGCAAGCGGCGGCGGCUGAUUUGGUGUUGGGGGCUAGGGUUUUUUUUUUUUUUUGUGUUUAGGUGUUGGGUUAAUUUUGAUCCAAGGGUUUUAUUUUAUUGGGCUGCUUUUUGGGUUUGGGUUAAUUGUUUGUAAGUGGGCUUAUAAUAUUCAAUUUUUUGAGCUGGGCCAGGCCAACAAAAUUGGCCCAUUACAAUAAAAAAAUACAAAAAAUAUAAAAUCUUUUACACAUUUAUAUUUUUAUUUUACCGAUUGUGUCUUAAUUCGAUUGACAUCAAUAUUAUUCUUAAUGCAAGUGAAGUCUUUAAAAUUUAUUAUUCAUAUCUAACCUUAAAGUAAUUUUUCAAUUUCAUCCUCAUGUGUGAGAGACAAGUUAACAUGCCUUUUUUUGGGCCCAUAACGAGGACUUCGAUUAUGUUUACACAUUUUUUAAGUCUUCAAUUUCGUUAAUUACGAAAGUUGAUGGGCGUCUACACUAAAUUUCCACCCACUAGAAUAUACGUAUUAAUUUGGUUUUCUCAACUACCAAUAUGACUAUAUAAAGCAUAUAAUUAUAGUUAUAUACAAGGACCGAUUACCAAAGUAUUUUAUAGAUAGGAUAUUCAAUAGCUUGGUCUCUAUCCGCACAUGACCUUGACUUAAACGUCAUCCACUCAUUCUAUGUCUUAAAAAAAUCAAGAAUGAGAACUUUGUGCAUGUAAGUUGGUUGGCUAUCAAGUUGAAGAUUCCAAAACCAGUUAUAGUUCAAGCCUUUAUUUUUCCAUAAAACCAAAAUUUUCUACAUUAUGGAUACUUUUGAAUUUUCUUUUUGGCAAUUAGUAGAGAGGGGACGAGGAAUGGGUUUUCCAAUAUUGAUGUUAACAUUAGACUUAAAUGGUGAAAAUAUUAUAAAGGUUUUGUACUACAAGUUAGAUUGUAUUUUGUUUUCUCUACUAAAAAUAGACAAAUUAAUCUUUGUACGUUAGAAACCAAAGUGCAAAAUCGUUGUGUAUUAAAAGUUCUAUCCACUUGUGUUGUUAAGUUAUGAUUUGGCAUUUUUCAAAAAAAAAAAUGUAACUGGCAUGGAAUUAAAAGAUGAGUAGAAUUAGAUAAAAGUAUUGUACUAGAAGUUAGAUUGCACUUUAUCCUUUCUACUAAAAACUAGACAAAUUAGUCCAUGCAUGUUAGAUAAAAAACAAAUUGAUCCUUCUACUAAAAAUAGUCAAAUUGCCCACUUUUGCAAUCACUUCUAGUCAUACUUGUUACUUAACAACUACUUCAGGUUAACAAUUUCUAGUGUUAAGAAAAUAACAUGGUUGAUUGGGCAAUCAGACAAUGGCACGUGAUAUGCCACAUGUACUUCAUGCUGAUGUAGCAUUUAUCACAUCAGUAAAUCUUUAAAAAUUAAAAAUUAUAUAUAAAUUAUUUAAAAAUUAUAAGAAAUUAUAUAAAAUCACAUCUAAAAUGAACUUAUAAAAAUGAUUGUCCAAAUGAGGGCAAAUAACCAAAAAAGGCCAUUUUUUUCAAAAUUUAUCGAAAUGGGCCGGUUUUUUAAUUAUUUACCGGAAUGGGCCAUUUUCCGCGAAAUCGCGUCCACGUCAGCGCGAUGUCAGGGUACGCACAGGAAAUCGCGUCCACGUCAGAGCGAUUUGCUGACGUGGAAGGAAAUCGUGCCCUCUAGGACGCGAUUUGCUGACAGUGUGUUUUUAGCUUGCAAAACUUUGAAAGGCCAUAACUUUUGGCUCGGUUGUCCGAUUGAGGCAAUUUUUUUUUUUGAUUUCGAAUAAAUUUUCAAGAUCUACACGCUGGAAAACAGCCAAAGGCGGUUUGCCAAAGUUUUCAUCAAAAAAGAUCAUUUUUUGCCCCUAAAUUUUGAUUUUUUCGGUUUAAAAUUGAAUUUUAAAACAUUCAAAUUGUUAUUUUCCUCAUUUAUUUGAAGUAAACACCGGAUAUUUUUUUACAGAAUUGUCUUAUAUCAUCCUGUUAUAGGUAUAAGUCAGCUCAUUCCACUUUUGAGAAGUUCCCUAAAAUUUUCCAUUUUAUUCAAUUUAGUCCCUAAAACCUAAAUAGUCAUAUUUUCAAAUCUAAGCUUCAUUUUUCAAUUCAAAUUCAAUUUCAUCCUUCCAUAACAUUCAAAUAUUCUUAAAUACAAAAAUUUCAUGCUAAUUUUGAAAUAAUUACACUUUAGUCCCUAUACUCGUAACUAACAAAUUAUACUUUACAAAUUAGUCCCUAUUCCAGCGUGUAGAUCUCGAAAAGUUAUUCGAAAUCAAAAAAAAUUCGUCUCAAUCAGACAACCGAGCCAAAAGUUAUGGCCUUUCAAAGUUUUCCAAGCUAAAAACACACUGUUCAUGCCACGUCAGCAAAUCGCGUCCUAGAGGGCGCGAUUUCCUUCCACGUCAGCAAAUCGCGCUGAUGUGGACGCGAUUUCCUGCGCGUACCCUGACAUCGCGCUGACAUGGACGCGAUUUCGCGGAAAAUGGCCCAUUCCGGUAAAUAAUUAAAAAACCGGCCCAUUUCGGUAAAUUUUGAAAACAAAUGGCCUUUUUUGGUUAUUUGCCCUCCAAAUUAGCUUAAUAACCAUUUGUUUAAACUGAUUACUAAUGUCAAGUUUAGGAUUCCAAAAUGGCCUAAAUGAGUUGGAAAAAAAAUUGCAAGAACUCAAGUUGGAUCCUUACCCAUAAAACCAAGUAAAAGAGUAUUUUUUUUUAAUUUAAUUAUACAUUUUAGUUUGAAAUUUUUUUAUCUAUAAUAAUUUCUCAAGAAUUAAUUGUAAGUUAUUUCCAUAAUCUAAAUUAUUGUGGAGGGACUUAUUAUAUAAGUUGAAGGUUGACACAAAAGUCAAUAGUCAAUAUUUGAAAGUUAAUGCAAUUAAGUAUGCCAUUGUUGAAUGUUGAUGUAUCUAAUGAUAUUUUCUUAACGAAUGCCUCUAACUACUUCGUAGAAAGCUAGGUUUAGCUAGAUGGUGCUAUGUUACAUCACAAUUGUAUGUAUAUAUUACAUCAUAAUUGAGAUUUUUAUUCAAAUAUUUUAUUUUAUUUUUAUCCUUAAAUCAUGAAUGGUAUUAUAAUUGUACUAUUAGUGGAGAUUUUAAAUUCAAGAAGUAAAGUCAGGAGUUGACAAAAGUUCUAUAGAGAUAUAGUAUAAUAUUAAAAAAGUAAAUAUUUAUAAACAAAUACAUUAUUCGUAUACCCAUAAUUAAAUAGUUUUUUUUUUUAAAAAUUCUUUAACUUUUGAAAGAAGCUUUUCUAAAAUAUCAUCCAUCCGGACCCAACAAUUGUCCUCUCUCUUGCCAAGUUAAGUGAUAGUAAAAAUUCUCUAUUUUAUAUUUGGUUGUAAUGUUUGCUGCGACAGUGGGUGCUCAUUUUAUACCACUUUGUCUGCCAAUAAAAUAUCUUUUUGCUAAAAACAAUAAGUACCAAAAAAUAAUUAUUUAUUAAACUUUCAUUAUUGUGGAUUUAAUCUUUAAACUUUAAUUUUAUAUUUUAAUCUUUGUACAACUUAAAUAAAAUUUUGUGGUCUAUUUAAGUUACGAGUGAACACCAAAUCAAGAGGUCAUCAAUUAAAGGAAUACAAUUAAUUCGAUGUUUAAAUGUAUGAAGUAUACAAUAAUUUACAAUAUUAUUUAAUCUUAAAAUUUUUAUUUAUAAUUUAAUAUAAAUAAAUAAUCGCGAAAAAUGAAUUAAAAAUCAUACUAAUUCCAAAGUAAUUGUUAGAGUGGAAAGAAUUUUGUAAUAUAAACUCAUGAUUUCAGGUUUUCAACCUGGAAUUACAAAGCCGAUUAGUUAUGUGCUUAUAUUUCAUUAACCAGAAAUAAUUAUGCUUAUAAUGUCACGUUUUAAAAUUCUUUUUAUAUUAAUCAUAUUAUAUCUACAAUUACAAAAUCUGACAAUGUACAUAUAAAACCAAAAUCAAGGCCUAAAAUUUCCAAGAAAAAAAAAACAAAAUGAAGGGUUAGAAUUUCCAUUAAUAAAACCAAAAUCAAGGACCCAAAAAUUCCAUGAAUAAGACGAAAAAUCAAGAACUAAAAUUUCCAUUAAUAAAAACAAAAUCAAGACUAAAAAUUUCCCAUGAAUUUAAACAUUGUACGUGAAAUUUAUAACCCAAACUACACAAUUUUAUGUCCUAUCUCCCACCUUUUCAUAUCUUUUUGGCCAUUAGUUAAGAUGGGAGGGGAAUGACUUAUCAAGAUUAGCGUCACCAUUAGAUUCUCGAUAUUACGCCUAUAAAAGAAAUUCAUUGGACUUAUAAUUUAAGGGCUAACAAAAGGUUUAUAAAAUACUUCUUUUUCAAAUUAACUUUUUUUCUAUCAUGUGUUUCAGAUUCUCGAUUCUGCUGACUCUUCUUCUGAUUGGAGCUGCCGAGGAGGUUGGUUUCAUCUACAACGGCUUCCGGUCGGCUAAUCUAAACCUUGAUGGCAUUGCAGAAAUCACUUCUAAUGGACUCCUACAGCUCACCAAUAAAACCAAGCAACAAAAAGGUCAUGCUUUCCACCCUCACCUUGUUGACUUUAAGAACUCUACCAACGGUUCUGUUUUUUCCUUCUCUACCACCUUUGUCUUCGCCAUACUUCCCGAGUAUCCAACUCUCAGCGGCCAUGGAGUUGCUUUUGUGAUUGCACCCACCAAAGGCUUACCCACAUCUCUUCCAAGUCAGUAUCUCGGACUGUUUAAUGAGCUCAACAAUGGCAAUGAUACAAACCAUGUUGUUGCCGUAGAACUCGACACCAUACGAAGUACAGAGUUCGAUGAUAUCAAUGACAAUCACGUUGGGAUUGAUAUUAAUGGGCUGACGUCUGCUAAAUCUAUUUCAGCUGGAUAUUAUAAGGACGGUAGCCAUGACGUUAAAAACCUGUCCUUGAUCAGUGUUAACGGAUGCAAGUUUGGGUCGAAUAUCAUGGUCUAGAGAAGAAAAUGGAUGUGACUUUAGCUCCAUUUAAGGUUCCUAAACCCAGCACACCACUUUUAUCCUUGUCUCGUGACCUGUCUUCAAUUGUCAACCGUGAGAUGUAUGUUGGUUUUUCAUCGUCAACUGGUUCGGUCCUCACAUCUCAUUAUGUUUUGGGCUGGAGCUUUAAGGUUAAUGGUCAGGCAGAAGAGCUUACCCUGUCUCGCCUUCCCAAGCUUCCUCGGUUAGGACCAAAGAAAAAGCCGAAAGUUUUGACAACUGGGUUGCCUUUGAUUUUGGUGAGCUUGGCUUUGACAGGAGUUUCUGGUGCUGUUUAUUGGGUAAGGAGGAAAAGGAAGUUUGCUGAAGUAGUUGAAGAUUGGGAGCUUGAGUAUGGGCCUCAUAGAUUCAAGUUUAAAGAUCUAUAUAUUGCUACGAAAGGAUUCAAAGACAAGGAAUUAUUAGGUGCUGGUGGAUUUGGUAGGGUCUACAGAGGAGUUCUUUCAAGCAAUAAACUUGAGGUUGCAGUGAAAAGAGUCUCGCAUGAAUCAAGGCAAGGGAUGAGGGAAUUUGUAGCAGAAAUUGUGAGUAUCGGUCGUCUCCGACACCGCAAUUUAGUCCAACUCUUGGGAUAUUGCCGGCGCAAAGGUGAGCUGCUUUUGGUCUAUGACUAUAUGCCUAAUGGAAGUCUCGAUAAGUAUCUGCAUGACCAGCCAAAAGUCACCCUAAAUUGGAGACAAAGAUUCGGAGUCAUCAAAGGUGUAGCAUCAGGAUUGUUAUAUUUACAUGGAGAAUGGGAGCAAGUUGUGGUUCAUAGAGAUGUUAAAGCCAGCAAUGUUUUACUGGAUGGUGAAUUAAAUGGAAGAUUGGGAGAUUUUGGGCUUGCUAGAUUAUAUGACCAUGGAACGGAUCCCCAAACAACUCAUGUUGUGGGAACUCUUGGUUAUUUGGCUCCCGAGCAUACUCGAACCGGGAAAGCCAACCCGUCCACCGAUGUGUUUGCUUUUGGGGCAUUUUUGCUUGAAGUUGCGUGUGGAAGAAGACCAAUAGAGGCACAAUCUACGACAGAAAAUGCAGUCUUGGUAGAUUGGGUGUAUUCAUGUUGGUCCAAAGGUAAUAUUAUGGAGGCCAAAGAUCCAAAUCUGGGUUCAGAUUAUGUAGCAGAGGAAGUUGAGUUGGUUUUAAAACUUGGGUUGCUCUGCUCUCACUCAGAACCUGAAGUAAGGCCAACCAUGCGCCAAGUCCUUCAGUUUUUAGAAGGGGAUGUUUCAUUUCCAGAAAUGUCAUCACUCAGUCUCACUUCCAGUGGACUAAUAUUUGGACGUGGACAGGGGUUUGAUGAUUAUGUCAUGUCGUAUUCAUCUUCCGUUUGGAAGGGAUUCUCCAAUUGUUCUGUUGCAGAUUCUUUAGUUUCUGAAGGUCGAUGAUUGUAAAAUUUUUCUCAGUGUUAAUAAUAAGAAGUGGUAAUCCAUUGCUUUGCGUAAAGGCUACUUAGUCAAGAUACUUAGAUGAACAACCAUUUCUUUUAAAAUUGUUAUCAUAAUAUUGGUGAACCUGGAAUUUUAUGUUUUUUGUAUAUUCUUAGAUGUUGCCAAAAGGAAGGCUGUUAGAAAUGAUUGGCUUUACCAAUUUCACAACCUAGUUCUUCUAGUUUGUGUUCCCUUUUUUAUUUAGUUUGUGGAAGGGAGUUGAGGGGCACAACCACAACCAUACUAGUUUCUACAUUUUGACUACAAAGGUACCUAAAACUUUAACACCACAGUGCUAUUGCCUCUGUUAAUACUAAAUUCUAUGUGCCUAAUAGAUUGUAGUGUGCAUAGGUUAGCAAAACAGAGCAAUCUACGAAGUAGAAACAAAAUCACCAGAGGCAAACCGAAGCCGAAUUAAACACCCAAGAGAUUUAAAAAAUCAAUUUAACCCUUUUAAAUUUCAAAAUAUCAUAUAACUUAUAAACAUAAAUAUUUAAAAAAGUUAUAAAAAUUUUAAAAUAAUAAAAUUUUAAUUAAAAAAUAACAAUACCAAACUCAUUAAAACUCAUUAAAAUCUAAUUAUUGAGAUUUUUAAAAAUUUUGACCCCUACUCUUUUUUUGGCCAAUAUUAUUAAAUUCUUUAAUUUUUAAAUUUUAAAAGGCUUAAUUAAUUUUUUUUUAAAAUUGUUACUAAGACCUUUUUGACCCUUUAGCCUUAUUAGCUUAAAAAUGUCUAAUUUACUUCCCAUAAAAGAAUAGGGUUAAAAUUGAAUAAAUAUGUAAAAGUUGACGGCUAAAUUUGUUAUUAUACCUUAUAUAUAAACAUCAAAUUUUAACAAGAGGGGUUGUUUUGCUCACUCUUCUAAAGUACAUGUGCUUAACUAUUAUGCUUGUGUGUGAGAGGUCCUAUGUUCAAAUCUCUUCCCUUGAGUUUUUAUUGUUUUUAUUCAAACACUUGACUUGUCACAAAUAAGUUAUAUUUUAGCUUUGUUAGUUUAUGGAUGAUAAUGAGUUUAUUGGUUCAAUGGUAAGAUUUCAACUUACCUAGGGAUCUUGUGUUCCAAUCUUGUUGGGUGCAACGAUGGAAUUCUUUUUGUUACUCUCUGCUAUGUCGUCCAUGACUCAGGAAGUGGGUCAAUUUCAAAGUCUUUGAGAUAUGAUACGAUAACAACCAUCCCACUCUUCCACUAUCUCUCUUGCCGCCCUCUUCUCCCCAUUUUUCUCUCCAUCUUUUAGUUUUCUCUAAUUUCCCCCCAUUAGAUUUUGAACUCAACAUCAACUUUUGAGAUUUGAUAGCUAAAAUAUAUAUGACGGGUUAAUUAUUUGUUUUGUUAAAUUAUAAAGUAGAAGUUUUAAAGUUCAAAUAUAUUUUAUGUUUUUAUACACUUUGUACAUUUAGAAUUUAGUUCUCUAUUUUGAGUUUAGUCAUUCUAUUUUUUGGAUUUAAAAAUUUAAAUCUAAUUGUUUUCACCGUUAAAUUUUUUUUAUUAAAUUCACUUGUGUGACAUUUAGAAAUUAUAUAUAUUUUUUCACUCGGUAGCCAUAUAAUGUUAAAACCAAGGCUAUCCAACACAGUUUAUUCAGUGACCUGAUCUAUCAUGGACUUGAUCAGUCAAGAAAGGAGACAGUUUGCACAUAUUUAUAUGUUGGCCUCUUUGACAUUUGCCUUAUUUGAUGAUCUUUAUUAAGAGGGAGAUUAUCUUUUCUUUUAAUGCAAUUAGUGUUGGAGCUUGGCUCAAGAUUUUAACUGGUGGGGCUUCAGUGGAAAACGGUUGAUUGCUCUGUUGAAUUUUCUCACUAUGCUAUAAUGUGAAUUAGAAUGGUGUUCAUAAAAGUUUUUGGCUGAUAUCGGUUUUGGCGACUUAUUGGACAGCGUGGCUGGUAUGAAAUGAUUUUGUGUUCGACAGAUCUUUCGAUGAUAAUUGAUAUGUUGUUGUUUCAUUCCAAAAUGAGAUUUAUGUUGUAGGCAAGGGUGGUGCAUGUUGUUUUUCAAUUUCUGAAGGGUUCAUGGUGGUUUUGCCUAGUGUCACUCAUUAGAUUCCAUACCCUCACGGGUAGGCGAAGUUCAACGUGGCCGGAGUUGAUAAGGAUGACGAAGUUGGUAGUUAUGGGGUGUUGAGAGAAGAGUAAAGAGUGGCACAUUCAUGAUGUUUUCGGUCGAUGAGGAUAUUGGGACUAAAAUAGUAGAGGAAUUCUUGACCGUUGUUGUUAUGGAAUAUUUUUAUUGGUAUUGAUCAUUGUUUCUCAGGCUGGCUAGAGUUCUCUUCGUAUUGUGGAUAGGUAAGGUAAUGGUAUGGCUGAUUCUUUGGCAAUAACAAAGGUGAGAAGGCUUGCAUGUUUUAAAGCUUGGGGUGAAAUGUUUUUCAUUUCUUUAGUUGUUUGCAUAGAGGGUGGAAGUAUCAGGUUAUCUGGGUGUUUUGUAUCAUUUUUGUUUAUGAGAGAGGUUUACUUUUACCAACAUCUUUCUAUUAUUAAUACAAUCCUAUUGUUCGAGCGAAAAAAAAAAUGCCUCAUGGAAAUCUUCAUCUUUGUCCUUAGAACUAAAAUUAUCAACAAAGUUUAUUUUUAAUUGUGAAAAUUAUAAUAAUUUAAUAUCAUAAUAUUAUUUUUAAAAAUGAUAAUAUUAUCAUUGUUUGCAAAAAAGAAAUUAUUAAGCAUAUUUUAUUUUAAAAAUAAUAGAUUUUUGUAUUCUUUAUAUCUGUUUUACGACUAUGUUCGAGGUUUUUGGGUAUCCCCUUCCAACAAUGUCAUCUCCAAGAUUUGAACAUACAUCUUCCCUUGAGAAUAUAAUAUAUGUCUUAUCAUUGUAUCUAAUACUCGUAGGUAAAAUAACACUUUUUUAAAAUUAUAAAUAUUUAUAUUUCUAUGCAUAAAGUACAAUAUAUAAAAUAUAAUGCCUUUUUUUUGUUUAAGAUACUAAUUGUAGAAGCCCAAACUUGCCCGGGCCCUACCAGCAAAACAAAUUUCAGCCCAAAUGGCCCAGUUACAUUGCAAAAUUAAUUGGACCAGCCCAAAUACAAACCAUAGGCCCAAAUACACCCCAAACCCAAUGAAAACUAGGGUUUCAGAACCCUAGUUUCCCCAUGUGCGCCGUACACCUCUGCAGUACCCACUCCUCUGCCACUGCCGUUCGCUACGUCCCAUCCGCACCUGCCUCUGACGUCGCGCCGCUCGUCCAUCACCUUGCAAACACGCAACACAAGCAGAAGCAGAAGGAGACAAGACCAAAAUUUUAUUUUUCUUUUGGCUAUAAAGCCGAUUUGUAAGAAACGAAAAUGGGGGGAAAUCGGUUUUAAAAAACUGAUCUUUGCAUCUGUAAAAAGCUCUCUUUUUCACAAAUAUUCAGAAAAUAAAAUACAACAUUUUCAAGAAGAUAUAUUUUCUGUUUAGGUAUUUACUUAGGUUGUUUACUCCUAUUUUUUAUUUUCUUCUAUUUUAUAUACGAAAACAAAAAGAAAAGGGAAAAAGGAACUCACCGGGAGUCGCUCCGUCUUCUCGCCAUCGGAGACUCCUUCUCCCGUGACGGAACCGAUUGAAGAGAGGCAUAACGGCCUUUUCCCCUUUAUUUUCGAUUGUUUUGAGGCUAGAUCCGGACUCAGGGGGUCGAGAUCUAGAAAAUAAGUUUUUUGCCUUCGCCGGCCACCGUGCGCGGUGGCGCCGACGCCGGCGACCGGAGUCCGGCACGGUGGCCAUUAGCCGAAGCCAAGAUCAGAGGGAGGGGGCUAGAGAGAGUUUAGAGAAAUUUUUUUUAAUGAAUAGAUGAAGAAUGAAAAUUUUUAAAAAAAUUUUGACUUAAAUAGGGCCCAUGAAACGGCGUCGUUUUGAGCUUCAGCACCAAUAGCCAAAACGGCGCGCGUCGACCCGACCCGCGACCCAGGGUCCGCGUGUUUUUGUGCGGGUGGGUUAUUUACGUGCGCGGUCCUUCCGCUUUUGAAGCACAUUGCAAUUUGCCCCUUUUCGUUAUUUUCUUUUAUUUUUAAUUUAGCCUCAGAGUUUUAUUUUGGUUUCAUUUUGGUCUACUGCAGCACUACCUUUUGGGGCUAUGGUCUAUUUACCAUUUUGGUCCCCCUCUUUCGGCGAAUGUCACAAUUUACUCCUUUUCGUUUUUUAUUUUAAAUUCGCCCAAUAUUUUCAUUUUUAUUUCGAUUUAGUCUGCAUUUUAGCACUUUUAUUAUUUAAGUUUAUUAUUAUUAUUAUUAUUAUUAUUAUUAUUAGUGUUAUCAUUAUUAUUACUAUUAUUAUACUAAUAUAAUUGCUUCUAUAUAUAUAUGUAUAUAUGUGCCCAUAUGUACGUUUAUUUUUUUAUAUAUACUAUAGUUUAUAUAUGUAUGUAUUUACAUGCAUAUAUACAUUCUUACAUGUAUUCUCUUUUAUUUGCAUAAAUAUAUAUAUUUACAUAUCCUUUAUACUUCUAAAAUAUGUAUUUUGUAUAUACUCUUUAUAUUUUAUGUAUUCCAUAACUUUUUAUAUACAUAUAUACAUUCACUUACUUUAUGAUUUAUAACUUAAAUAUGUUUAUAUAUAUACAUGAACAUUUUAUUUCCUACUAUUUGUAUUGUUAUUGUUAUACUAUUUGAUAUUUAUUUAUUUAUUUAUUCAUGUGUUCGUUAUUAUUUUUAGGAAAUGCUUUAAUUAUCUCAUAUACUGGAUUUGUUAUUUUAUGUAUUUUAUUUCUUUUUUAUUAUUGCUUAUAUUAGUUUUACUUGUAUUAUCAUUAUCAUUGUGUCAUACAUGUUAAUAUUGCAUUUAUUCCUACCAUUUUAUGUUAAGUUAAUUUUAUUUAAUAUGGUUUUUAAAUAAAACUAAAUCUCGUAUUUAGAUUCGAGAAGGUCGUACCGUAACUUACUGGGUUUCGAUUUUCAUAAUAAAUCUAAAUACAUGAAUCUUUUCAAACUCAAGUUUUAAACAAUCUCGGGAAUUAAGAAAAGAUUGUGUCCUAACCUACUGGGCAUGAUCCAUUUUCUAAACUCGAGAUAAUUAAACAUCUUUUAAAUAAGUAAAUUUUGACAUUCAUUCGCAUAUCGGGAAUUCGAGACAUUGUGUCCUAACUUACUGGAUACGAUGCUUUCUUUCUCGAUUAAUGUGGAACGCGCCCCUUUUCCCAAAAUUUUCAACAUUUUAUUACAAGGAUCGUAUUUUUAAAUUUCUUUAAAGUUUUCAGCUUUUCGACACUAAGACAUUAAGUAAUCAACUAGGUACCAAUUUUGGGCGUAUCGAGGGUGCUAAUCCUUCCUCGUGCGUAACCGACUCCCGAACCCGUUCUUCUGAAUUUCGUGGACCAAACUUGUUGUUUUAAUAAAAUCAAACCGUUUAUUAAAAAACCCAUUUUUCGAGGUGAUCCAAUCACACCUCAUAAAAAAGGAUUGGUGGAGACUUCCGUUUCAUUUUUCAAAAUUCAAGUCGACCCCGUUUUCAUAAAAAAAUGGUGUCAACACUAAUAUAGUAAUUAUUAUACCUAUAAUAAAUUACCUAAUAUUAAUAAUUCAAUAUACCACUGGUUAUCUAAUGAAGUAGGGAUGUAAAUGAGAUACUGGUACUUGUAAGCUAUUCAAGUUUGACUAAAAAAAUUGAACUUAAUUCAGUAAUUGAUAAGCUAUAAAAGUAACAUAUUUUAAACACAAUCCUUAAUGCGUUUUUGGAUAAUUAAUUAUGCAAAUUAAUGAAUUUGAUGCUCCUAAUCCUUUAAAUUCAUGUUUCUAUACUUAGGAGAGCAUUUGGGAGUGAAAGGAGCAAAAAAAAACGAGCCAAAAUCAGACAAAAAAGAUGUUUUCAAGAUCCACGCGGCCUGGGCAUUUCCACACGGGCUGGCCACAUGCCAUGUGGCCAGCCCAUGUCGAUUUCGCACCCUGCUUCCAAAAUAAGCGGAAAAACUCAAUUUUUAGGCUUUCUAAGCAUUCUAAAGUCUAUAAAUGUUGUAAUAGAGCCCAAUCGACCCAGGCCCAGGAACAGUCCAACAAUUACAGGCCCAAAAAAUAAUAAACCAAACCCCAAAACAACCCUAGCCCAAAGCAAAAUAAAAAACCCUAGCAGAGUACACAGCUUUAGAGGAGUACACAGCUUUACUUCGGUGUUCGAAGGUUCAGGUGGAUAGAAUUUAUUCGAAAGCGGUAAAUGUACCAACUUUCUUGAGGAAGUUGAUGAAUAUAACAGGGAUGAGUGAGCAGUGGGUUACAGCUCGGAUUAAGCAAAAAGGGGAUAGUAGGUGUAUCCCUUGGAAAAGUUUGAAGGACCUCAUUUUAGCACACCCAGAUGUGAGGAAGAAAGUAGACGUCUUUGCUCUAAGUAUAUAUAGUUUAAUCUUGUUUCCUAAGAUUUUGGGACAUGUUGACGAGGCGGUCACUAAUUUAUUCGAUCGGCUUGAUAAGGGAGUUACACCAGUCCCAGUAAUUUUGGCAGAAACCUUUAGAUCAUUGAAUGCAUGUCGAAGAACUGGAGAAGGCAGAUUUAUUGGAUGUGCGCAGCUAUUACUUGGGUGGUUCCAUAGCCACUUUUGGAAGGUUGACAAGGUUUCAUAUCAGGUCUUCUCUGAAAGUUAUUCACCGUUGAAAGAGAUGGUGGCUACGUCAAGGAGAGAUGACAUCUCGGAGGAGAAAUGGAUGGUAAUCUUUCAGAGUCUGCAAGAAGAAGAUAUCCAGUGGAGAGCUCUGUGGUUGCUUCCAGAUGAGAUCCUAUAUAGGUGUGGGGAUUUCGACUGGGUUCCAUUGCUCGGGGUUUGGGGAGCUGUUGGUUAUGCCCCAUUGCUAGUGCUAAGACAAUACAGGUCAAGACAGUUUGUGCUUGCAACACAGGGGUUAGCCGAGUGUGAGUUCUCAUACAAGGAUGAUGGCUACAAGAGAAAGGCUCGUGAGAUGGCCAAUGCGUGGAAUCAGACUUGCCGAAUGAAGAGAUUAGCCGUGGGUCCAAUGACAACUUCAGAGUACAACGAAUGGUAUGUUAGGAGGAUUAAUGACAAUAUUCCCAGGCCAAGUGCAGAAAAUAGUCAGUCGAUAGAGGAGCAUUUGCGCGUCGUCCCUUCUGAGCUGGAAAUUGUAAAGCAAGACCUCGAAAGAAGGAAUGCAGAAUUAGAGAAGAAAAUAGAGCAAAUGGAGGAAGAAAAGGUGAAUUUAAGGUUGGACAUAGAUGUUUAAAAGUUAGAAAUCGAAGGCCUGAGAAAAGGGAAGCGCAAGGUCGAGGAAGAACUGAACAGCUUAAAGACUGAUUAUAAGAAACUACGUCUCUCAGUAAGAACUGCUGGGUUGGGAAAAACCUCAGAGCAGUGGUGUCAAGAGGUUCAAGAAGAAAAAGCCAAGGCUAGUAGAUGGGAAGAAAGAUUCCAAGAAGCCCAGAUACAAAACAGAUCACUCGAGAAGAGUUUGUUAGAAAAUCAUGAUGAAAGAGAUAAAUUAAAGGCUAGAGCGGCUGAACUUGAAAAGAUUGUUUAUCAAUACCGAAAUCGUAACUCAAUGGCGGAACUACAAGCAAGUUUAAACAGGAUUGAGCAAAUGAAGAAAACUAUAGAAGAAUUAGAGACAGCGUUGCAGAACGGUGAAGCCAGGAUUGGGUAUCUGGAGGCAAACAAAGAUCAUCAAAAUGAACAGCUUCACUAUCUCCAGGAUCAGGUCAGAAGCAGGGAUCGUGUUAUGGGACAGGCCUUGGUUCAGAUUCGAGAAGUAGCCGAUCACUUACAAACUCUGGAAGUACAAGCUGACACGUUGAGCGUAAAGUAUGAGUUGGAAUCAGAUCGGGGACGGGAGUUAGCCUCGUUGCUUCAAAAAAUCAAGGUCUUAAGUAUUAGGGCGAAGUCGUAUUUGUAAUCUAUUCUAUGUAAAGGGAUUUGUUUUCUAAUAAAGUUUUCCAAGUGGAAUUGAAUUAUAAUUAACGCCUUUCUUGCAUUCAUCUCAUGCAUUGCAUCAUAUGCAUUAAAAACCUUUAACUGGUCCUAAUCAAUUAAAAUUAUUGCUCAGUUAACCUGGAAACCAACCAAUCAACCUGACACCGAUACGGCACUCGAGCAAAGACAAAAGAUAUGGAUUAGAGACUAGAAAAGCUUGAACAGCACCAGAAGAGAUGCAAGACUGGCUUCAGCUACAAAUGCAGGAACGGUUAGACAAGAUGAACUAAGAGAUGUCUGAGAAGAUGCGGGAAUCUCAAGAGGACAUAGUGGCAAAGUUAACCCGAUUGAUAACAAAGGGAGGUGACAAAGGAAAGGGCCCCAUGGCAGAUGUCGACGAGGGAAAUGAUGAUAAACUUUUCUAUCCUCCAGGUUUCACCCCUCCGCAUGAGCGAGCUCAAGCUGAAUACCCGCGCAAACCUACUGUCACCAUCAUGCCUCAGUAAUUUCUAGCUGGUGUUUCGAACCUCCAAACUGGGUCGGAUUUUAAUCCGAUAACAAUCUCGUUAACUCUGCCAUCCCUGACUUUGAUGAGGUGGUUGAGAAGGAAAGAGUAAAGGAAGAGUUACCGAAGCAGUUGGAAGAAAGAUGCAGGUGGCUCGAAGAGAAAUUCAAGGCGAUGGAGGUUGCUGAGAGUUCUCGAGGCAUUGACGCGAAAGAGCUGAGUUUAGUGCCAGAUUUAGUACUCCCUCAUAAGUUUAAGAUGCCUGAAUUUGAAAAGUACAAUGGGACAAGCUGCCCAGCAGCUCACAUCACCAUGUUCUGCAGGCGAAUGACGAGUUAUGUUAACAAUGACCAACUCUUGAUACACUGUUUCCAAGACAGCCUUACUGGGGCAGCAUCCAAGUGGUACAAUCAGUUGAGUCGUGCCAUGAUUGGAUUAUGGAGGGACUUGGCACAAUCGUUCAUGAAGCAAUAUAGUCAUGUGACUGACAUGGCUCCUGACAGAAUCACCCUCCAAAACAUGGAGAAGAAGCUGAGUGAAAGCUUCAAAUAGUACGCGCAGAGAUGGAGGGAGGUCGCGGUUCAGGUUCAGCCGCCGCUCUUGGAAAAGGAGAUGACCAUGCUGUUCAUUAACACCCUGAAGGCACCAUUCAUUUCACAUAUGUUAGGAAGUGCCACAAAAAGCUUUCCUGACAUAGUCAUGAAUGGUGAGAUGAUUGAAAAUGCCAUCAGGAGUGGGAAGAUUGAUGCGGGAGAGAGUAACCGAAGAUCGUCCUCGAGGAAAAGGGAGAACAAGGUGAACAACACGAGCAUGUACAACAAGGGUUACUCGAAAUCAGUAACUGUGAGUCAGCCAGGAAAGGUGGCUGCCAGCCAGCAAAGCUCGUCAAGACAGGAGGUCGGUACAAGGCGAAAUAUUGAGAGACCCCAAUUCACGCCAAUUCCUAUGUCGUACAAGGAGCUAUACCGAAAUUUAUUUGACGCACACAUAGUUUCCCCUUUUUAUCUGAAGCCCUUGCAACCCCCGUAUCCCAAAUGGUACGACGCGAAUGCACAGUGCGACUAUCAUGCGGGCAUAACAGGGCAUUCCAUAGAAAACUGUACAGCCUUCAAGAAGAUGGUUGAAAGGCUCAUUGGUAUGGGUGCCGUUAAGUUUGACGACUUGACUAAGGCAGAGAACCCGUUACCAAACCAUACUGAUGGUGGGGUAAAUAUGGUAAGCGAAGACGGAGGGAUCAAGGCAGAUAUUACGGAUGUGAAGACGCCUUUGAGAAGGGUCUGGAAGGAGAUGGUGAAAAGGGGACUAAUCGUUUCAGAAGGAAGCUGUGAAAGGAAGAGGAAUCACUGCGAGUUCCACCAUGAAGUGGGGCAUGAAAUCCAAGAGUGCACGGGGUUUAGAGCCCUGAUACAAGGCAUGAUAGACAAUAGGGAGGUGAAAUUCUGUGAAGGAGUUCAAGAGGAGAGUGAUGUAUGCACGUCAGAGUUGGCGUCGGGGGUCCCGAAGGUUAACCGUCCUGUGGUCAUCAUCUCGUGACCUCAGAAUAGUGAGGCUGGGGCACGAAUAGCACCAAAAGUAAUCAUCUAAAAACUGGCUAUGUUUGCAUACAAGGAUAACAGGAGGGUUCUUUGGAAUUACGAUUGUAAUGUGACAAUCCCGGGGAAGGAAGAUAUAGUGAGCAAAGAUGAUCAGAAUGAAGGAAGGCACCGCGAGCAGAUGAAAGAUCGAGUAGAGCCAGUAGGAGAAGAAACUUCAACUGGAAAGAAGAAGAACGUGGUCGAACCCGAAUUGUUGGUCAAUGAACUAAUCAAAGAGGAGGAAGCUAGAGAGUUCUUGAAGUUCAUAAAGCAUAGCGAGUAUAGCGUUGUGGAACAGCUACACAAACAACUAGCUCGCAUAUCUAUGCUAGCUCUACUCCUGAACUCGGAGGGACAUCGAAAUGCACUACUGAAGGUGCUAAAUGAAACUUAUGUGGCCGACGAUAUCUCUAUUAACAAGUUAGAUCGACUGGUCGGCAAUAUAAGCGCUGAUAACUUUAUUUCCUUUAGCGAUGAUGAAAUACCACCUUGGGGUAUGGGAUCUACUAGAGCUUUACACAUCACUGCGAGGUGUAAAGGGAGUAUAUUAUCGGGAGUCCUGGUAGACAAUGGGUCGGCACUGAACAUAUUACCUCUAUCCAUGCUCAACAGGUUACCUAUGGAUAGUUCACAUAUGAAGUCAUGCCAGAAUGUGGUGAGAGCGUUUGAUGGCGCUUAAAGGAGGGUCAUGGGGAGAAUUGAUGUACCUUUGUUAAUUGGCCCAACUGUCUAUGAGGUAGACUUUUUGGUUAUGGACAUCAAGCCUUCUUAUAGUUGCCUAUUAGGAAGGCCGUGGAUUCAUUCAGUAGGUGCGGUACCGUCAUCGUUACAUCAAAAACUGAAGCUGGUGUUAGAGGGCCGGGUAGUGACGAUAGAUACUGAAGAGGAUAUCAUUGUAUCUGUGACUAACAAUGCGCCUUAUUUGGAGACAAGUGAUGAUGCAAUCGAGUGCUCUUUCCGCUCCUUGGAAUUUGUAAAUGCAACAUUCAUCCUUGAGGGAAAUAAGAUUCCGAUGCCGAGAAUAUCAAGGACCACAAAGAUGGGUCUGCAAUUGACAGUAGGAAAGGGAGCUUUGCCAAGAAAAGGAUUAGGGAAGUAUCUUCAGGGCAGAGUUGAGGCUCCAGUGUUGAAGGACAAGCAGGACCGUUUUGGCUUAGGAUACAAGCCAGAUGCUAGGCAGAGGAAGAUAGAGCAAGAAAAGAAGCGUGAGAGAAGAAGGGCUCGUCUAACAGGGGAUGAAGUUGAAUUGGAGCCCAUGACCUUUCCUCACCUAUCCAAGAUUUUUGUAUCGAGAGGAUUCCUCUAUCAAGGGGUCAGAAGUAUUAACACGGAGUUGGAGAGUAUCCAUGCCGUGUAUGAAGAAGCGAUGGGAGGAAGAACCUUGCGGGAUAUUCGUCCUUACGAGUCGGGAAGGGCGCUAAACAACUGGACUACAGAAGAAAUACCUGUAGUUUUUAGGAUUUCCUCAGAGUAAUGUACAGAACACCCUUAUUGCUUUUUAGCCUAGAAGUGAUAAGGAUUCCUUUGUGAAAUAGGCUCAUGUCUAGAAAAUUGUUAUUUUUAAUAAAGUACAUGUUUGCAGUCAUUCUUGGAGCAAAUCUUUCUUUCUAUAAAAGCAAUUAUUUUAAAUUUUUCCCAAAUUACACUUGCAUUUCAUUCAUGACCAUAUUCUUGAAUCCAUAUUGUUUUUAUAAUAGGUCUUACGAUAUCAAUGAUACGAAUGUCACUCUUACAAAUUUAGAGUCCCCUUUUGAACGAAACAUGUGUUUAGAGGGAUCACAUGAUUUUGAGGAUGACGAAGACUGUGGUUUGUCUCCUGACUUGUUGAAGAUGGUAGAAAUAGCUGAGAAGCAAAUCCUACCUCACAGGGAAUCAAUAGAAAUUAUGAGCUUGGAGGAAGGUAAAGAGGUGGAGAUUGGGUCGGAUAUCUCCGCAAAGACAAAAUAAUGCCUCAUCGAAUUACUCUGAGAGUUCAAGAACGUAUUUGCAUGGUCAUACCAGGAUAUGCCGGGGUUGAGUACCAACAUCGUAGUCCAUCGUCUUCCUAUAAGAGAAGAUUGCAAGCCAGUACAGCAAAAGCUCAGAAGGAUGAGGCCUGAUAUCGUGUUGAAGAUAAAUGAGGAGGUCCAAAAGUAAUUUGAUGCCGGAUUUCUGUAAAAGGUCAAGUAUUCUGAGUAGGUGGCCAACAUCGUACCAGUUCCAAAGAAAGAUGGGAAAGUAUGAAUGUGCGUGGAUUACCGGGAUUUGAACAAGGCUAGUCCAAAGGACAACUUCCUAUUGCCCCACAUCGACACAUUGGUAGACAAUACUGCGGGCUUUUCAUUAUUUUCCUUCAUGGAUGGCUUUUCGGGGUACAAUCAAAUAAAGAUGCAUCCUGGUGACAUGAGAAAGACUACGUUCAUUAUGUUAUGGGGGACGUUUUGUUAUAAAGUGAUGCCGUUUGGAUUAAAGAAUGUGGGAGCGACAUACCAAAGAGCCAUGGUAGCCUUGUUCCAUGAUAUGAUGCACAGGGAGAUCGAGGUUUAUGUGGACGAUAUGAUCGCGAAAUCCAGAACGGAGGAGGAACAUGUGCAGGUCUUGAGAAAAUUAUUCUUAAGAUUGAGGAAGUUCCAGCUCAAGCUUAAUCCAGCGAAGUGCACUUUUGGGGCCAGGUCAGGAAAACUAUUAGGCUUCGUGGUCAGUGAAAGGGGAAUCGAGAUUGACCUAGACAAAGUGAAGGCAAUACGAAAUUUACCUCCACCUCGCACUCAGAAAGAAGUUCGAGGAUUUCUCAGAAGACUGAACUACAUUGCUAGGUUCAUUUCACAACUAACCGAGAAAUGUGACCCUAUAUUUCGUCUUCUGAAGAAACGUAAUCCUGGUACUUGGGAUGAAGAAUGUGAAGAAGCCUUUAACAAGGUGAAGCAGUAUUUGUCUAAUACUCCAGUGCUGUCACCGCCUAGCCUGGAUAAGCCCCUGAUAUUGUAUCUGACAGUAUUUGAUAAUUCCAUGGGGUGUGUGCUAGGCCAACAUGAUGAAACGGGGAAAAAAGAAAGGGCGAUAUAUUAUCUCAGCAAGAAAUUCACUGACUGUGAAAUGAGAUAUUCGCCUAUUGAGAAAUUAUGUUGUGCCUUGAUUUGGACAACUCGGAGAUUAAGACAGUAUAUGUUAUACCACACGACUUGGCUAAUCUCAAGGUUAGACCCGUUAAAGUAUAUGAUGGAGUCAACUGCUUUGAAUGGGAGGAUGGCCCGAUGGCAGAUCUUGCUGUCUGAAUUUGAUAUUGUCUAUGUGAGCCAAAAGGUUGUGAAAGGGAGUACAAUUGCUGACUUUCUAGCUAGUAGAGCUUUGGAGGACUACGAGCCGUUAAGUUUUGAUUUCCCAAAUGAAGACCUGAUGUGUAUAGCCGCUACCGAAGAAAAUCCCCAAAAAGGUCACAGUUGGAAGCUAAACUUUGAUGGAGCUUCGAACGCUAUGGGCAAUGGAAUUGGGGCAGUCUUAGUAUCCCCAGAUGGUGAUCAUUAUCAUUUCACUUGCAAAUUGGAUUUUGAUUGCACAAACAAUAUGGCAGAAUACGAAGCGUGCAUCAUGGGUAUUCGUGCAGCCAUAGAGCGAGAAAUCAAAGUAUUAGAGGUCUAUGGAGAUUCGGCAUUGGCUAUAUAUCAGCUCAGGGGUGAGUGGGAGACGAGAGAUCCUAAAUUAGUCAGCUAUCGAAAGUUGGUCCUUGAAUUGAUUAAAGAGUUUGAGGACAUCACUUUUUGCUAUCUCCCACGAGAUGAGAACCAGAUGGCCGAUGCACUAGCUACUUUAACUUCCAUGAUCAAGGUGAACAGAUAUAAGGAUAUAAAGCCAAUCCAAAUGAGUAUCUAUGAAGACCCGGCUCAUUGUUGCAAUAUUGAAGAAGGAGAAAUCGAUGAUAGCCCUUGGUAUCAAGAUAGUCUACGAUAUGUAAAAAACCGUGAGUAUCCUGGCCAGGCAACUGAGAAUGAAAAGAGAACUCUGAGAAGGCUAGCCAUUGAUUACGUCUUAGAUGGGGAUAUCUUAUACGAGAGGGGAAAAGAUCAGGUUCUGUUAAGAUGUGUGGAUGCCGUGGAAGCAAAGAAAAUUCUGGAGGAAGUCCAUGAGGGUAUCUGUGGAACGCAUUCCAGUGGGUUCACAAUGGCUAGACAGAUUAUGAGAUUCGGGUAUUACUGGUCCACCAUGGAAGGGGAUUGCAUUAGUUAUUCCAAAAAGUGCCGUAAAUGUCAAAUCUAUGGUGAUAAAAUGCAUGCACCUCCUUCACCUCUUCAUGUCAUGACUUCUCCAUGGCCUUUCUCCAUGUGGGGUAUGGAUGUUAUCGGGCCCAUAUUGCCGAAGGCUUCAAAUGGGCAUCGUUUCAUAUUCGUAGUUAUUGACUACUUCACCAAAUGGGUAGAGGCUGCUUCGUAUGCUAACGUUACAAAAUCAUCAGUUAGCAAGUUCUUGAAGAGAGAGAUCAUAUGUCGAUAUGGAAUAGCCUGAAAGAAUCAUAUCCGACAAUGCGUUGAACUUGAACAACAGCUCCAUAGCAGAAGUCUGUAGUCAAUUCAAGAUCAGACAUCACAAUUAGUCGCCGUAUCGCCCAAAAAUGAAUGGUGCAGUGGAAUCGGCCAAUAAAAAUAUAAAGAAGAUUGUGGGAAAGAUGACUGAGACUUACAGGGACUGGCAUUAGAAGCUACCGUUUGCCCUCCUUGCUUAUCGAACGUCAAUCAGAACCGCCACCGGGGCAACACCUUUCUCCUUAGUUUAUGGCAUGGAGGCAGUCUUGCCCAUCGAAGUUGAAAUUCCUUCUCUCCGGUUUUGACUAAGCUACAAUUGGAUGAAGCAGAAUGGGUUCAAUCUCGAUACGAUUAGUUGAACUUGAUAGAGGGAAAAAGGCUAAAGGCUAUUCAGCAUGGUCAGAUGUACCAGAAAAGAAUGAUGCAAGCCUACAACAAGAAGGUCCGACCUAGAGAAUUUCAUGAGGGGGACCUGGUGGUUGAGAAAAAUUCUUCUCUACAAAAGGACUUUAGGGGGAAAUGGAUGCCGAAUUGGGAAGGUCCUUAUGUUGUAAAAAAGGCCUUUUCUGGAGGAGCCCUGAUCCUGGCUGAAAUGGAUGGAAGAAACUUACCCAAUCCAGUAAAUUCAGACUCGGUCAAGAGAUACUUUACUUAAAGAGGGGAAGGAACCAAGGUGAAAACCCGCAAAGGGCACUUUGUUUCCAAAAAAAAAAACGGAGAGGCUAAGGUGAAAACCCGCAAAGGGCACCUUAAGACCAGAGGGGAUUUAGUUGAAAACCCGAAAAGGGCGGCUCAAAUUUUGAUUGGCACAUGGUAGUCUUGCUGUACCUAAAUCGGUAGAAAGGAAUAGAUGACAUCUUGGGGCAUCAACAGACUACUGUGAAUCUCCUAAACACGUGUUGAGUUCAGAAGGGUCUUCGAAAGUNNNNNNNNNNNNNNNNNNNNNNNNNNNNNNNNNNNNNNNNNNNNNNNNNNNNNNNNNNNNNNNNNNNNNNNNNNNNNNNNNNNNNNNNNNNNNNNNNNNNNNNNNNNNNNNNNNNNNNNNNNNNNNNNNNNNNNNNNNNNNNNNNNNNNNNNNNNNNNNNNNNNNNNNNNNNNNNNNNNNNNNNNNNNNNNNNNNNNNNNNNNNNNNNNNNNNNNNNNNNNNNNNNNNNNNNNNNNNNNNNNNNNNNNNNNNNNNNNNNNNNNNNNNNNNNNNNNNNNNNNNNNNNNNNNNNNNNNNNNNNNNNNNNNNNNNNNNNNNNNNNNNNNNNNNNNNNNNNNNNNNNNNNNNNNNNNNNNNNNNNNNNNNNNNNNNNNNNNNNNNNNNNNNNNNNNNNNNNNNNNNNNNNNNNNNNNNNNNNNNNNNNNNNNNNNNNNNNNNNNNNNNNNNNNNNNNNNNNNNNNNNNNNNNNNNNNNNNNNNNNNNNNNNNNNNNNNNNNNNNAAACUCAUCGGCAUGUAUAUACCUUGCCCGCGUCCCAACAUGGGCGACGUGAGCUCUGGACCUUGAGUUAUGAGAUCAUCGCUCACAAACAGAGUUCCGAACUGGGUUAAAGACCAAAGCUUCCCAGGAAAACCCACCAUCGGAAGGGAAGUGGCGUUAGGACCACCUGCGUAGUCAUGUAAGUAGACGGUCAUCUUGGUUUCCUUAAUAACAACCUUAUCAUCUGCUGCCAAUAUGGUCGAGGCGAAUUUUAACAACAUCACCAAAAAUAUGGCUGAAGAAACUGGAAACACCAAUGAAAAUUUGGCCUUCGUUGCCAUGUUUCAAUAUCUAAGCAUAGCUUUGUUGAUGUGGAGAUUGGAGGCUACUAUCACAUGCUUUUUAUAGGAAAAUGUUCUGAAACUCAUACACCUAAUACCAUAUGCAUAUUCCCAAAGUCUGCUGUGUGUUUCUUAAUUACCUUAUUUUCAAAUCUCUCCAUUUCACUUUCCGUUUAAUUUGAAAUAGUUGUUGCCAAUUGGAGUACGCCCUUGUUACACUUCAAAAAAUUAGAUUUUGAACUCAAUAUGAAUACAUUCAAAUUAUAACAAAAAAAAAAACUCAAUAUGAACCUUUUUGAGAUUUGAUAACUAAAAUAUACAUACAAAGUUUUAAUUCAUGGAGAAGUUUAAGCCUUGAUUUUGUUUAUGAAGUUAAUUCAUGGUUUUGUUUUCAUUCAUGGAAAAUUUAGGCCUUGAUUUCGUUUCUAUUCAUGAAAAUUUUUAGUCUUGAUUUUGGUUUUAUUAAUGGAAAAUUUAAGUCUUGAUUUUUUUUUUAUUCUUGAAAUUUUAGGUCUUGGUUUUGGUUUUAUAUGUAAACCAUUAGAUUUUGUAAUUUUAAAUAUUAUAUUAUUAUUAUUUCAAAAAAAUAUAUUAUAUGAUUAUAUAAUAUCAUGAAAUGAAACAAGAAAUAGAACAUGAAACUGUAAGCAUUACUCUUUUUUUUUAAUGAAAUAUAAGCAUAACUAAUUGGCUUUAUAAUUCCAGCUUCAGCUUAUAAUUUCACUUUGUACUUAAUACUUUAAACAAAACUUGUAAAUUGACAUGAAAUCAUGAGUUUGAAUUACAAAAUUCUUUCCAUCUUGGGAUACAUCUAUAAUUUAUUUAAUCUAAUAUAUAUAUACACAUAUAUAUUUAAGAACUUUAAUGAGUUAAGAGUAACGCCAACUCAAUUAUAAAUUUAAAAAAAAUACUCCUUUUAAAUUCUAAUUAAAAAUGUUAUGAUGAUACACUAGUUUUUUUUUUAAAUUUUUAUAUCAUCUUUAAAUAAAAUAAUUAUAAAUCCAGAGAUUGAACACAUGUUCAACCAUAUAAAAAAUAUAAAUUUAUUUUCACUCUACAAAAAAUAUUUUCUUUUACCCACAUCGUGAGUGUGAUAAAAUGUAGGAAUAAUAUAUUUAAGAUUUUGAUGGAAUUAGUGUCACAUAUCAAAUGGAUCUCAACUAAAUCAUAAAGUUACCAGUAACCCAGACUUGAACUUUUAAGCUCAAAGUUUCUAAAAUCUUUUCCUUACUUAAUACAUUGGUCUCUUAUAAGUAUAGGAAAUUAUAGAUAGUAAUAUCUUUUUGUAACACCCCUAUCCUGGUCUAGACGUUACGACUGGAUCUUGGAGGUCAAAUUAAUUUCUCAAAACCAGUUUGUUUGUCUUCCAAAUCAUUGCUUAUCAAUUAUUUUGCAAAAACUUGUUUCUAUUUAUUUAUCAGAAAACCUAGCUAUACUAUAAUGACAUCUUUCAAAACAAUCCUCUUAUCUUCCAAAAUAGAAGAGUCAGAUUAUUAAGUUGAUUAUUUUUCUGAAAACUUAAUUUGUAGUUUGAUUCGCAGUAGAAAUUGAUUCCCCCCAAUUGUUGGGGAACCAGGGGAAUAAGCGGCAGCGGGCUUUUCUUUUAAGAGAGUUUAUUUUAGUCCUUGUUGUAUAUUUAUCAGCUUUAGUGUGAAUACGUUAUUGUUGUUCUCAAUGUAUAGAUUUAUUAGAUCUAGUGUGAACACGCUAGUGUGAACACGAAUGACGGGGCUGUUGGCUAUACCACCCAAACGUUACUUGCAGUUCUCAAUGUAUAUUUUUAUUAGCUCUAGUGUUGACACGAGUGAAGGGGCUUAUAGCCCCCUAGCGUUACUACUUUUGUUAGUUCUUAGUGGCUAGCCCUCCCGAGCGUUGCAUAAAGUUAGGUAGGGAGGGCGAUAGCCACACAAUGAGUUUAGGGUAGAGUGAGGGGACUAUUGGCUAUAGCCCCCGAACGAUACUUCUUUGUUCUAUAGUAAAGUUAAUUGUAUCAUGAACUAUUGAGUUUAGUAACUUAAGCCUCCCCGAGUUUACUAAAAAUUCGAUAGAAAACCCAAAAUAAAAUAGAAUUCGAAAAUUAAUUCAAAAGUCCAAUAAUCCAAAAAGUUUAUUUGAUAAUCAAUUCAUAUAAUCUUAUGCAAGUAAAACCAAUCCGAGCUCUCGUGUGCUUUCCAAUCCUAAGUUUGUUGAUUACCUGAGAGGAUAAAAAUAAAGGGUAAGCUAAUGAGCUCAGUGUGUAACUCAACCCAUACAAACAAAAUAGGUACAAAUAUAGUGUCAGAUGCGAAUACAUAUGUAGUCUAGAUACAAAUACAGUUACAGAUACAAUUAUAAAUACAUAUACAGAUACAUACGUAGAUACAGAUGCAAAUUCAAAUGCAGAUACAAAUCUUACCCCUAUUCGCUACACACCAUCUUCGUUUAUCCUUACACACCAAUUAGGGUAACGAAUACUCAUCCAACCCUACACGUCAAUAAGUGAGUGUAUGUCAUUUUUUGGAAUAGUGCAGUCGAGUUGCCAGAUUUAGUGUGGCAAUAUGCCAAUAUCAGAUAAGUGUGGUCAAGCCACCAGAAUUGUCAUUAAGCUGCCAGAACAAAUAUGUGGUUAAACCACAAUUAAGUCAUCUUGGGUUGCCCGACAACAAUGGCUUACUAAUAUCAAUAUGCAGUUAAACUGCCAACACUUCCUCGAUCACAUUAUUAUCUCACCCCAAUGCACAUAUCAAAACAUAUUACAUAUUCAGGUGCACAUAGUUGAAUCAUGCUUAAACAUACUUUUCAAAUUACAGAUUAGAUACAAAAAUUAUAACACAGACAUGCUCUCAGAUGUUACACAAAUAAUAUUAAUAUUUCAAAUUUCAUAUAUAAAAUUCAUACAUAUCACUCCACAACCUUACAAAGUAGCUAACCAUGAUGCACACUUAAAAUACGACCCAAACUAAAUUUUAUGAAGCAUGGACCCACAAACCCAUGUGGCCUACACGGCCUAACUAGCCCAACUCGUGUGGCCCACAUGCCCCACUUAACCCAAUUCGUAUGGUCCACACGGCUUGGCACAUGGUGAUGUGGCAUCGAUAGAAUGCUUUUCAGCUUUACAUCAUUCGUUGUUUUUCGAGUUUAACGUUACACACUUGACCUUUUUUGAUGUCGUCACAAUAGCAACAAUUCUAGGACCCUAAAACAACAUUAAAACGACUAACUAACAACCAUAUCAAGUCCAAAUAAUUACUUGUCCCUUACUCGAUUAGAGUCCAUAAACGUAGGGCAAUUCACCUGAACAUAUAAGUAUAGUCCCUAAAUAAGGUACACAGUCCCUUACCCUUGAUAGAGUGCCGAUGACAACUUUAGUUUGUCGGAGGGGUGUUAUCCGCUUCCUGUUUUACACCUAGAUAGAAACACAAAAUAAUAAACUCGACAUGAAACUUACUAAAUGGACACCACUAAUCAUAACCUCCAAUUCACACGCUAUCCGAAUGGAACACUCAUUCCUAAAGGAGAAAGAAUAGAAACACUUAUGAACAGAUGUGACCACAAUACUGAACACUUUCGAGUACUCACAACUGACACAUAAAGAACUUGAGAUCAACACUCGAACAAUGAAAUAAGCAACAAGAAGAGUUGCGAACGUGCAAUAUGGCAACCGAAAAAGAAAAUGCGAGAAUAGCCAAACAAAGGGAGAAACUAAAAUGAAGAGAAAUGAAUUAGAGAGUGAAAGAGUGAGGUGGUUGUUAUAGUAUCAUAUCUCAAAGACUUUGAAAUUGACCCACUUCCUGAGUCAUGGACGACAUAGCAGAGAGUAACAAAAAAAUAAAUAAAAUUCCAUCGUUGCACUCAACAAUAUUGGAACACAAGAUCUCUAGGAAAGCUAAAACCUUAGCAUUGAAUCAACAAACUCAUUCUUAUCCAUAAACUAACAAAAAUAAAAUAUAACUUAUUUGUGACGAGUCAAGUGUAUGAAUAAAAACAAUAAAAAAUCAAGGGAAGAGAUUUGAACAUAGGACCUCUCACAUACAAGCAGAAUCGUUAAGCACCUGUACUUUAGAAGAGUGAGCAAAACAAACCCUCUUGUUAAAAUUUGAUGUUUAUAUAUAAGGUAUAAUAACAAAUUUAGCCGUCAACUUUUACAUAUUUAUUCAAUUUUACCCCUAUUCUUUAAUGGGAAGUAAAUUAGACAUUUUUCAAACUAAUAAGGCUAAAGGGUCAAAAAGGUAACAAAUUUUUUAAAAAAAUUAAUUAAGCCUUUUAAAAUUUAAAAAUUAUAAAUUUUUUAUUAAAAAAUUUAAUAAUAUUGGCCCAAUAAAAGAGUAGGGGUCAAAUUUUUUAAAAAUCUCAAUAAUUAGAUUUUAAUGAGUUUGGUAUUUUUUUUUUAAUUAAAAUUUUUAUAAUUUUAAAAUUUUUAUAACUUUUUUAAAUAUUUAUGUUUAUAAGUUCUAUGAUAUUUUGAAAUUUAGUAUAAACAGAGGCAAAAAAUGGUUACAUAUUAUAUUUGGUUCUAAACAGAGGCAAUAGCACUGUGGUGUUAAAGUUUUAGGUACCUUUGGAGUCAAAAUGUAGAAACUAGUAUGGUUGUGGUUGUGCCUCUCAACUCCCUUCCACAAACUAAAUAAAAAAGGGAACACAAACUAGAAGAACUAGGCUGUGAAAUUGGUAAAGCCAAUCAUUUCUAACAGCCCUCCUUUUGGCAACAUCUAAGAACAUACAAAUAACACAAAAUUCCAGGUUCACCAAUAUUGUGAUAAUAAUUUAAAAGAAAUGGUUGUUCAUCUAAGUAUCUUGACUAAGUAGCCUUUACGCAAAGCAAUGGAUUACCACUUCUUAUUAUUUAAUAAUAAUAUUAAUAAAUAUUAAUAAUAUUAUUAAUAAUAAAUUUUAAUUAACUCAAUCUAUGGAUUCCCUAUUAGAUUUGAUUCUAAUACGGUAGAUUUAUGUCGUCCUAUUUCUAGGAUUGCAUGCAACUCUACUCAAUUAUGCUGAUCUACUCUUAAAUAGGGACUUUUGCUCUGCUGAAAUAAGCACAUUAAACAUGAGUUAAUAUCACGAAAAUAUUAAAACAAGAAAUAAUCAUACAUAAUCGAGAACAAGAAUCAAGUAUUUAUCAUGUAAAUCAGAAGUCAAAUAAUAAGAUUCAUCGUAGGUUUCAUCCUCCCUAAGUAUCUAGGGAAUUUAGUUCAUAAUCUUGAAUAGAAACAUCUCAAAGUUAGGAUAACCACAAGGCAUAACGAAACUCAAUGAAACUUCGAAAGAAAUUAAACGGAGAUCUUUGAUCUUGAAGGAGAUCCGCCUCUGAGUUGAUUCUGAUGACGUUCUUUGAGUGUUUUCUUCAAUCUUCUCUGAUUGCCCUUUUAGGUCUUCUUCUAAUUGGCAUUUGUCGAAACCGUUUUUGAAAACAAGAAUUUAGUUUUCGACUUUAAAAAAAAAACAAAACUGGAGUCGCCACCGAUCCUUUAUUUGGGUAUGAUCGGCCCACCUUAAAAACAAUUUUGGUCUGCGCAAUUUGAGAAAACAGGCUCGGGAGUCGGUUACGCACAAGGAAGGAUUAGCACCCUCGUAACGCCCAAAAUUGGUACCAAAUUGAUUUUUAAAAUGCCUUGGUGUCGAAAAAUUUGAAAAGAUUUUAAAAGGAAACUUUUAUUUUAUGAAUGGAUUAAAAUAAUAAGACAACUCCUAUUUCAAAUAAAUAAGACACCACACCCAGUAAGUUAGGGCACAAUGUUUUUAAAUCUUCAAAAUACCCGAAUAUUGCCUUUUGUUUUUUUGAAAAUUCUUAUUUCGAGAAGAAAAUGUCAUGACCAGUAAGUUAGGACCCAACAUUUUAAAUUCCUGAGAAUAAGUUUUUAUUUAAAAUUUGAGUUUAUUGUAAAACAAAUGCUUGGCAUUCUAAAUUCAUCGAAAAAUAAUCGCGAUCCAGUAAGUUAGGACACAAUCUUUUACGAGAAUCAUGAAUGUCAAACAUUUUGAAAUUAUAAGACAAGAUGAUUUAAACUCCUUGAGAAAAUCAAAAAUAUAUUUUUUAAAAUGGAUGCUGAAAAGGGUUAAGGUAAAACAUGGAACGGAUACCCUAAUUUCAAACAGAUAUAAAUAAAUAUUUAUAAGUAUAUAUACAAGUACAUUAUAUAAUUAAAUUUACAAAUGAAAUGAAGGAAUGAAAUACAUCAAACCAAAACAAUAAUAAAAAUGCAUGUAUAUAUGUGUACGAAAACUAUGAAAAUAAAAUAAAGAUAAAAGAAUGUAUGUGUAUAUAUUUACAAAAUAAAAAAAAUAUAUAAGUAUAUAUAAAAUACAGAGUAUAAAAUAUAUAUAUAUAUAAACGUAUAUACAAAAAACAUAUAUAUAUUUAAAAUCUUUUAAAAAGAUAUAUGUAUGUAUAUUAUCUAAAACAUGCGUGUAUAUAUAUAGUAAUUAUAAUAAUAAUAAUAAUAAUAAUAAUAAAUAAAUAAAUAUUUUUUAAAAAAAAUAAAAAAGGGAAAAAAAACUAAAAUGGACCGAAUUGAAUUUAAAAACAAAAAAUAGGGUGAAUUUUGAAUAAAAUUUAAAAAGAAAAGGGGCCACUUGAACACGCGCGUAACCCCGGAGGACCAAAACAGCAAUUUACCCAGACCUCCAAAACGCGGCGCAGAAGGGGACCAAAUUGAAACGGGAGUCAAAUAUGCGGCCUAAUUUCUAAAAUGUAAAAAGGAUUUAGUUAAAAAGCGCUGAAAAAUGGAAGAGCCAAUUGCACAAAUAUCCCCAAAAUUCAAAACACGCGGAUCCUCCCCGGGUCGGGUCAGCGCGCGGGUCACACUAGGCUUGAAACGGCGCCGUUUUGAUCCUUUAUUUAAAACCAAUUUUUUUUCCUUUCAAAAACCAUUUUCAACUGUAAAAGAAGAAAAAAAAACUUAGAAAACCUAUGGGCGCUCUGCUAGGGUUUAUUACCCAAGCCUCCUCGCGCCGCCGCCGCUCUCAAACAACCGGCCGGUCCAAAUUCCGACCGUUCAAGACGAAGCAAGCUUCGGGUUUCACCGGCCAUACCAUGCAGGUAAGCCUCUUCCUUUUUCUUUUAUUAUAUUUAAAAAAAAACAAAUGAAAUGUAUAAAAAAGAAAAAAAUACAAAAAAUAGAACCCGAUUUCACCUUGAAUCUGAAAAAAAAUCAAUCUGUAUUCUCCGAAUUUUCUAUUUCUUGCGUAUUCUCUCUGUGUAUUUUCACUCAUACAUCCUCCCUUUUUUUAUAGAUUUCAAUAGCCCUUUUAUAGGCUGAAAAUAAAGAAAAUAAAAUAAUCUAAAUGCUGUUUUUGCUGUUUAUUCUCUCUGGGACUCUCUGAGUCCGUGUUUUUGCAGGUGACGUGCGUGGAGAGGGGUCGAUCUCCGAGUUGUGCGGCGACUGGGAGUUAGGCGCGGUGCGGGGCUGUUGGGUGCGCCUGAAGGCUUGCUGCGGCGCUCCUUAGGGCUAGGGUUUUUUAUUUUGCUUUGGGCCAGGGUUGUUUUGGGGUUUGGUUUAUUAUUUGUUGGGCCUGUAAUUGUUGGACUGUUCCUGGGCCUGGGUCGAUUGGGCUCUAUUACAGCUGCCCCUCUUUGCUCGUUGUCGUGUAACGGGAACAGAGCAAAGACUAAAAGGCCCAAUCGUGCCAGGUCUUACUAUGCCUCGACCUCUUCAGUGCUUUUCUUCUUCAAGUAGCUUUAUUCCUUCCUACUGCAUCUUCAGAGGUAUAGGAACUAGCACUUUAACCCACUCCAUUGCAAUGUCAGGGAGAUAGGGUUCAUACAUUGUAACUUUUCAAAAGAACAAAAUUUGCUAUAUUUGAUCUGCUCCACUGCAACUUCAGGGAGAUAAGACUUAUAGCUUCCGCUUGUUCUGUUACAACUUAAGGGUAAAUCUAAUGUGAUCUGCUCUGCUGCAACUUCAGAGAGAUGAGAUCUGUGGUUUUAAUCCACUCCAUUGCAAUUUCAAGGAGAUUGGAUUAGUUACUUCUGUCUGCUCCACUGCAACUUCAGGGAGAUAAGACUUGUAUCUUCGAUCUACUUCACCACCAGUAUGGGAAGACAAGAUCUGCUUUCUUUGAUCUACUUCACGCCAGCACGUGAAGACAAGAUCUGCUUUCUUCAAUCUACUCCGCCACCAGUAUGGGGAGAUGAAAUCUGUAUAUUCGAUCCACUUCGCUACCAAUAUAGGAAGACAGGACCUGCUAUCUUUGAUCUACUUCACGCCAGUACAUGAAGAUAAGAUCUGUUUUCUUCGAUCUACUCCACCACCAGUAUGGGGAGACAAGGUCUAUUUUCUUCAACCUGCUCCACUGUUGCUUAGGGAGACAAGGCUUUAUGAUUUCACCAAUCUGCUCUCUGUGAAACAUGACCUGUAUGAUUCACUUUAUGAGCCUAAUUAUGCCUAAAGAUUAGGAUGUUAUGAUCAGAAUGAAUCAGAUGCUCCUAACUAGGCGUGUAUGGAUGAUAUGUUAUGUCAUGAAAAAUGAAUAUUGAAUAUUUAAAGUCAUUAUUGCUCAUUAAGGCUUCCUUCGUGGCAACAACGCUUCGUCAAAACUUGAGAAUUUUAAUCUUGACUCUUAACUCCUAGAUAACUCUGACAUUUUAACCCGGUGAAGGUCUAAACAACAGUCCUGCUUUAGGUUCCUGAGCUAUUAAAGAUUUCUAGAGUAAUAUGAAAAACUUCCCUUGUAAAAGUUUUGCUAGUCUAUUAAUCGUUACUCUAAUGCAACAUGUUUGCGAAAAGAUCAUGACAAUGAAUAAAACAAAAUAAAUUUGAGAGCAUAGCUCGCAACGGUUUGUCAAUAAUAGAGGAAUUAUCUGGGGAUAUUUAUAUUGAAGAAGAAUGGAAUAUUCUAAAACAACGAAUUCAAUACAAAUAUUAUGAUUAGGUGCCCCAAAUAUCUCUGCUUGAACUUCUCUAUACAACUUUCGAAGACCCUUCUGAACUCAACACGUGUUGAGGAGAUUCACAGUAGUCUGUUGAUGCCCCAAGAUGUCAUCUAUUCCUUUCUACCGAUUUAGGUACAGCAAAACUACCAUGUGCCAAUCAAAAUUUGAGCCGCCCUUUUCGGGUUUUCAACUCAAAUCCCCUCUGGUCUUAAGGUGCCCUUUGCGGGUUUUCACCUUAGCCUCUCCGUUUUUUUUUUGUGGAAACAAAGUGCCAUUUGCGGGUUUUCACCUUGGUUCCUUCCCUUCUUUAAGUAAAGUAUCUCUUGACCGAGUCUGAAUUUACUAGAUUGGGCAAGUUUCUUCCAUCCAUUUCAGCCAGGAUCAGGGCUCCUCCAGAAAAGGCAUUUUUUACAACAUAAGGACCUUCCCAAUUCGGCAUCCAUUUCCCCCUAAAGUCCUUUUGUAGAGGAAGAAUUUUUCUCAACACCAGGUCCCCCUCAUGAAAUUCUCUAGGUCGGACCUUCUUGUUGUAGGCUCGCAUCAUUCUUUUCUGGUACAUCUGACCAUGCUGAAUAGCCUUUAGCCUUUUUCCCUCUAUCAAGUUCAACUAAUCGUAUCGAGAUUGAACCCAUUCUGCUUCAUCCAAUUGUAGCUCAGUCAAAACCCGGAGAGAAGGAAUUUCAACUUCGAUGGGCAAGACUGCCUCCAUGCCAUAAACUAAGGAGAAAGGUGUUGCCCCGGUGGCGGUUCUGAUUGACGUUCGAUAAGCAAGGAGGGCAAACGGUAGCUUCUCAUGCCAGUCCCUGUAAGUCUCAGUCAUCUUUCCCACAAUCUUCUUUAUAUUUUUAUUGGCCGCUUCCACUGCACCAUUCAUUUUUGGGCGAUACGGCGACGAAUUGUGAUGUCUGAUCUUGAAUUGACUACAGACUUCUGCUAUGGAGCUGUUGUUCAAGUUCAACGCAUUGUCGGAUAUGAUUCUUUCAGGCAUUCCAUAUCGACAUAUGAUCUCUCUCUUCAAGAACUUGCUAACUGAUGAUUUUGUAACGUUAGCAUACGAAAUAGCCUCUACCCAUUUGGUGAAGUAGUCAAUAACCACGAAUAUGAAACGAUGCCCAUUUGAAGCCUUCGGCAAUAUGGGCCCUAUAACAUCUAUACCCCACAUGGAGAAAGGCCAUGGAGAAGUCAUGACAUGAAGAGGUGAAGGAGGUGCAUGCAUUUUAUCACCAUAGAUUUGACAUUUAUGGCACUUUUUGGAAUAACUAAUGCAAUCCCCUUCCAUGGUGGACCAGUAAUACCCGAAUCUCAUAAUCUGUCUAGCCAUUGUGAACCCACUGGAAUGCGUUCCACAGAUACCCUCAUGGACUUCCUCCAGGAUUUUCUUUGCUUCCACGGCGUCCACACAUCUUAACAGAACCUGAUCUUUUCCCCUCUCGUAUAAGAUAUCCCCAUCUAAGACGUAAUCAAUGGCUAGCCUUCUCAGAGUUCUCUUUUCAUUCUCAGUUGCCUGGCCAGGAUACUCACGGUUUUUUACAUAUCGUAGACUAUCUUGAUACCAAGGGCUAUCAUCGAUUUCUCCUUCUUCAAUAUUGCAACAAUGAGCCGGGUCUUCAUAGAUACUCAUUUGGAUUGGCUUUAUAUCCUCAUAUCUGUUCACCUUGAUCAUGGAAGUUAAAGUAGCUAGUGCAUCGGCCAUCUGGUUCUCAUCUCGUGGGAGAUAGCAAAAAGUAAUGUCCUCAAACUCUUUAAUCAAUUCAAGGACCAACUUUCGAUAGCUGACUAAUUUAGGAUCUCUCGUCUCCCACUCACCCCUGAGCUGAUAUAUAGCCAAUGCCGAAUCUCCAUAGACCUCUAAUACUUUGAUUCCUCGCUCUAUGGCUGCACGAAUACCCAUGAUGCACGCUUCGUAUUCUGCCAUAUUGUUUGUGCAAUCAAAAUCCAAUUUGCAAGUGAAAUGAUAAUGAUCACCAUCUGGGGAUACUAAGACUGCCCCAAUUCCAUUGCCCAUAGCGUUCGAAGCUCCAUCAAAGUUUAGCUUCCAACUGUGACCUUUUUGGGGAUUUUCUUCGGUAGCGGCUAUACACAUCAGGUCUUCAUUUGGGAAAUCAAAACUUAACGGCUCGUAGUCCUCCAAAGCUCUACUAGCUAGAAAGUCAGCAAUUGCACUCCCUUUCACAGCCUUUUGGCUCACAUAGACAAUAUCAAAUUCAGACAGCAAGAUCUGCCAUCGGGCCAUCCUCCCAUUCAAAGCAGUUGACUCCAUCAUAUACUUUAACGGGUCUAACCUUGAGAUUAGCCAAGUCGUGUGGUAUAACAUAUACUGUCUUAAUCUCCGAGUUGUCCAAAUCAAGGCACAACAUAAUUUCUCAAUAGGCGAAUAUCUCAUUUCACAGUCAGUGAAUUUCUUGCUGGGAUAAUAUAUCGCCCUUUCUUUUUUCCCCGUUUCAUCAUGUUGGCCUAGCACACACCCCAUGGAAUUAUCAAAUACUGUCAGAUACAAUAUCAGGGGCUUAUCCAGGCUAGGCGGUGACAGCACUGGAGUAUUAGACAAAUACUGCUUCACCUUGUUAAAGGCUUCUUCACAUUCUUCAUCCCAAGUACCAGGAUUACGUUUCUUCAGAAGACGAAAUAUAGGGUCACAUUUCUCGGUUAGUUGUGAAAUGAACCUAGCAAUGUAGUUCAGUCUUCUGAGAAAUCCUCGAACUUCUUUCUGAGUGCGAGGUGGAGGUAAAUUUCGUAUUGCCUUCACUUUGUCUAGGUCAAUCUCGAUUCCCCUUUCACUGACCACGAAGCCUAAUAGUUUUCCUGACCUGGCCCCAAAAGUGCACUUCGCUGGAUUAAGCUUGAGCUGGAACUUCCUCAAUCUUAAGAAUAAUUUUCUCAAGACCUGCACAUGUUCCUCCUCCGUUCUGGAUUUCGCGAUCAUAUCGUCCACAUAAACCUCGAUCUCCCUGUGCAUCAUAUCAUGGAACAAGGCUACCAUGGCUCUUUGGUAUGUCGCUCCCGCAUUCUUUAAUCCAAACGGCAUCACUUUAUAACAAAACGUCCCCCAUAACAUAAUGAACGUAGUCUUUCUCAUGUCAUCAGGAUGCAUCUUUAUUUGAUUGUACCCCGAAAAGCCAUCCAUGAAGGAAAAUAAUGAAAAGCCCGCAGUAUUGUCUACCAAUGUGUCGAUGUGGGGCAAUAGGAAGUUGUCCUUUGGACUAGCCUUGUUCAAAUCCCGGUAAUCCAUGCACAUUCAUACUUUCCCAUCUUUCUUUGGAACUGGUACGAUGUUGGCCACCUACUCAGAAUAUUUGACCUUUUGCAGAAAUCCGGCAUCAAAUUACUUUUGGACCUCCUCAUUUCUCUUCAACACGAUAUCAGGCCUCAUCCUUCUGAGCUUUUGCUAUACUGGCUUGCAAUCUUCUCUUAUAGGAAGACGAUGGACUACGAUGUUGGUACUCAACCCCGGCAUAUCCUGGUAUGACCAUGCAAAUACGUUCUUGAACUCUCGGAGUAAUUCGAUGAGGCAUUAUUUUGUCUUUGCGGAGAUAUCCGACCCAAUCUCCACCUCUUUACCUUCCUCCAAGCUCAUAAUUUCUAUUGAUUCCCUGUGAGGUAGGAUUUGCUUCUCAGCCAUUUCUACCAUCUUCAACAAGUCAGGAGACAAACCACAGUCUUCGUCAUCCUCAAAAUCAUGUGAUCCCUCUAAACACAUGUUUCGUUCAAAAGGGGACUCUAAAUUUGUAAGAGUGACAUUCGUAUCAUUGAUAUCGUAGGACCUAUUAUAAAAACAAUAUGGAUUCAGGAAUAUGGUCAUGAAUGAAAUGCAAGUGUAAUUUGGGAAAAAUUUAAAAUAAUUGCUUUUAUAAAAAGAAAGAUUUGCUCCAAGAAUGACUGCAAACAUGUACUUUAUUAAAAAUAACAAUUUUCUAGACAUGAACCUAUUUCACAAAGGAAUCCUUAUCACUUCUAGGCUAAAAAGCAAUAAGGGUGUUCUGGACAUUACUCUGAGGAAAUCCUAAAAACUACAGGUAUUUCUUCUGUAGUCCAGUUGUUUAGCGCCCUUCCCGACUCGUAAGGACGAAUAUCCCGCAAGGUUCUUCCUCCCAUCGCUUCUUCAUACACGGCAUGGAUACUCUCCAACUCCGUGUUAAUACUUCUGACCCCUUCAUAGAGGAAUCCUCUCGAUACAAAAAUCUUGGAUAGGUGAGGAAAGGUCAUGGGCUCUAAUUCAACUUCAUCCCCUGUUAGACGAGCCCUUCUUCUCUCACGCUUCUUUUCUUGCUCUAUCUUCCUCUGCCUAGCAUCUGGCUUGUAUCCUAAGCCAAAACGGUCCUGCUUGUCCUUCAACACUGGAGCCUCAACUCUGCCCUGAAGAUACUUCCCUAAUCCUUUUCUUGGCAAAGCUCCCUUUCCUACUGUCAAUUGCAGACCCAUCUUUGUGGUCCUUGAUAUUCUCAGCAUCGGAAUCUUAUUUCCCUCAAGGAUGAAUGUUGCAUUUACAAAUUCCAAGGAGCGGAAAGAGCACUCGAUUGCAUCAUCACUUGUCUCCAAAUAAGGCGCAUCGUUAGUCACAGAUACAAUGAUAUCCUCUUCAGUAUCUAUCGUCACUACCCGGCCCUCUAACACCAGCUUUAGUUUUUAAUGUAACGAUGACGGUACCGCACCUACUGAAUGAAUCCACGGCCUUCCUAAUAGGCAACUAUAAGAAGGCUUGAUGUCCAUAACCAAAAAGUCUACCUCAUAGACAGUUGGGCCAAUUAACAAAGGUACAUCAAUUCUCCCCAUGACCCUCCUUUAAGCGCCAUCAAACGCUCUCACCACAUUCUGGCAUGACUUCAUAUGUGAACUAUCCAUAGGUAACCUGUUGAGCAUGGAUAGAGGUAAUACGUUCAGUGCCGACCCAUUGUCUACCAGGACUCCCGGUAAUAUACUCCCUUUACACCUCGCAGUGAUGUGUAAAGCUCUAGUAGAUCCCAUACCCCCAGGUGGUAUUUCAUCAUCGCUAAAGGAAAUAAAGUUAUCAGCGCUUAUAUUGCCGACCAGUCGAUCUAACUUGUUAAUAGAGAUAUCGUCGGCCACAUAAGUUUCAUUUAGCACCUUCAGUAGUGCAUUUCGAUGUCCCUCCGAGUUCAGGAGUAGAGCUAGCAUAGAUAUGCGAGCUAGUUGUUUGUGUAGCUGUUCCACAACGCUAUACUCGCUAUGCUUUAUGAACUUCAAGAACUCUCUAGCUUCCUCCUCUUUGAUUAGUUCAUUGACCAACAAUUCGGGUUCGACCACGUUCUUCUUCUUUCCAGUUGAAGUUUCUUCUCCUACUGGCUCUACUCGAUCUUUCAUCUGCUCGCGGUGCCUUCCUUCAUUCUGAUCAUCUUUGCUGACUAUAUCUUCCUUCCCCGGGAUUGUCACAUUACAAUCGUAAUUCCAAAGAACCCUCCUGUUAUCCUUGUAUGCAAACAUAGCGGGUUUUUAGAUGAUUACUUUUGGUGCUAUUCGUGCCCCAGCCUCACUAUUCUGAGGUCACGAGAUGAUGACCACAGGACGGUUAACCUUCGGGACCCCCGACGCCAACUCUGACGCGCAUACAUCACUCUCCUCUUGAACUCUUUCACAGAAUUUCACCUCCCUAUUGUCUAUCAUGCCUUGUAUCAGGGCUCUGAACCCCGUGCACUCUUGGAUUUCAUGCCCCACUACAUGGUGGAACUCGCAGUGAUUCCUCUUCCUUUCACAGCUUCCUUCUGAAACGAUUAGUCCCCUUUUCACCAUCUCCUUCCAGACCCUUCUCAAAGGCGUCUUCACAUCCGUAAUAUCUGCCUUGAUCCCUCCGUCUUCGCUUACCAUAUUUACCCCACCAUCAGUAUGGUUUGGUAACGGGUUCUCUGCCUUAGUCGAGUCGUCAAACUUAACGACACUCAUACCAAUGAGCCUUUCAACCAUCUUCUUGAAGGCUGUACAGUUUUCUAUGGAAUGCCCUGUUAUGCCCGCAUGAUAGUCGCACUGUGCAUUCGCGUCGUACCAUUUGGGAUACGGGGGUUGCAAGGGCUUCAGAUAAAAAGGGGAAACUACGUGUGCGUCAAAUAAAUUUUGGUAUAGCUCCCUGUACGACAUAAGAAUUGGCGUGAAUUGGGGUCUCUCAAUAUUUCGCCUUGUACCGACCUCCUGUCUUGACGAGCUUUGCUGGCUGGCAGCCACCUUUCCAGGCUGACUCACAGUUACUGAUUUUGAGUAACCCUUGUUGUACAUGCUCGUGUUGUUCACCUUGUUCUCCCUUUUCCUCGAGGACGAUCUUCGGUUACUCUCUCCCGCAUCAAUCUUCCCACUCCUGAUGGUAUUUUCAAUCAUCUCACCAUUCAUGACUAUGUCAGGAAAGCUUUUUGUGGCACUUCCUAACAUAUGUGAAAUGAAUGGUGCCUUCAGGGUGUUAAUGAACAGCAUGGUCAUCUCCUUUUCCAAGAGCGGCGGCUGAACCUGAACCGCGACCUCCCUCCAUCUCUGCGCGUACUGUCUGAAGCUUUCACUCAGCUUCUUCUCCAUGUUUUGGAGGGUGAUUCUGUCAGGAGCCAUGUCAGUCACAUGACUAUAUUGCUUCAUGAACGAUUGUGCCAAGUCCCUCCAUAAUCCAAUCAUGGCACGACUCAACUGAUUGUACCACUUGGAUGCUGCCCCAGUAAGGCUGUCUUGGAAACAGUGUAUCAAGAGUUGGUCAUUGUUAACAUAACUCGUCAUUCGCCUGCAGAACAUGGUGAUGUGAGCUGCUGGGCAGCUUGUCCCAUUGUACUUUUCAAAUUCAGGCAUCUUAAACUUAUGAGGGAGUACUAAAUCUAGCACUAAACUCAGCUCUUUCGCGUUAAUGCCUCGAGAACUCUCAGCAACCUCCAUCGCCUUGAAUUUCUCUUCGAGCCACCUGCAUCUUUUGGUUAUAAUGGUUGUAUUCAGUUAUUCCUCUUUUAGCAAUCUACUAUUCAAUUCUCCUCAUAUCAAAACAAUUUUUUUUUGCUCUUGAAUAUUAUGAGCUUUUUACAUAUCUCUUACUUUCAUGAUGAUAUUUUUUUGAAUUUUCUUUUGACUUUCACAAAGAGGUGGUGUCUGGUGAUGUACUGAUAUGAAGUUCCUUUGUUCCUGUCUUCAAUAGGGAAUCCUUCUGCAUCAAAGCCCGUCAAUCAAGGAUCGUUGACAAUUUUAGGUCUGAAUCUCACCUUGCUUCCUUUUACAAAGAUGAGUUUUUUCACUGACAAAAAGGAGGUUCAGAGAUCUGCAACUGCCUUGGGAUAUGUUGCACAUGUGCGUUCUAUUUCUUCUGUGAAGUUAUCAUUUAUUACUGAAUUUGUUUUUUCUGAUAAUAUCAAGCUGUGGAUAUCAAGUUUUUUGACCUACCACCUACAAUCCCUUGUUGCUUGAAGAUGCUGUAGUAAUUUUUAAUUGCUAGGAUGGUAAUAUGGUAUAGUGGGUUGCAUCUUGAUUGUUUGUUUCUCAUGCUGAGGCUAUAAUUUUAAUCAUACCUAUUAUUGUUUCUUGUUUCCUGUUAUUUCAUCAUUUGCAGGCUGUUUCACUAAUUGCAUCCUAUUUACAAGUUCCCUUGCGUUAUCCUCUGCGCUUGGGUGGUUCUCGCUCAUAUAUUAAUGACCAUGCGUCUUCAAUAGACCCUGCAUCUUCUGAUUUGUCAUUGGAUACAACACUUUCAGCAAAUGUAAAGCUGGCAGAAUUUCCGCUGUUUUUAGAAGGUCAAGACACGACAAGAGCAGCAUAUGCUGUUUUCUUGUUAAACAAGGUAAGCUUUUGCAUAUUAGUAAUUCUUUUUCCAAGAUGAAUUAUUCUCCUUUGGCAUUUUUAUGUAUAGUAUUGGAUUCAAAUGGUCUGCAAAGUUAGCUUGUCAAUGCUCUUCAAUCCACAGGUUGGAAAAACAGUGCAUGUUUGUUCGUCAGCAUUUACAGCUCAUUUUAUGUCAUUGAUAGUGGAUAAUCUUGCUUCCAUCAUCAUUAAUAUCAUGGUUGAAUUGUUUGGAAGAUAUUGGAUUUACAAUAUCUAGGUUCUUGUGAUAGACACUUAAGACUAUCUAUAAACUUCACCGGCAGAUUAGGUGAAGGAUUAUCAACAAAUUUGAAAAAUGUGAUGAAGUCCCACCAUGCAUCUAAAAGGAGGUCCAGCACUCGAAUCCCAUUCCCCAUAACUAAAAACUAUGUCACUGUGACUUGGUCAUAUCUCCAUAUCCAUGUUCGAAGUCGGACAUGGGUAGUUAAAGAAAAAUGAAGAGUUGAUGCAUGAUAGACUAAGGACUAGUUCAAAAGUGCGUUUAGAAAAAAGUGUUGUUGAAAUGUGGUGCGGAAAAGUAUGUUUGUUAGUUUUUAGUGUUGUUCAUUACUGCCAAAAAUUGCAGUUGAAAGUUAAAAUGUCUUUUUUAGACAUGAUGGUAGAAAGAAAAAAAUUAGUCAAGUUAUAUGAUAUUUAAAUAAUUUAAUAUAAUGAUACAUGAAAUAUAACUUUUAAAUACCUUUUAAGUAAUUAAUAUAAAUUAUUUGUAAAAUUGAUGAUAUAUAAAAUAUUUUGAAAAAAAUUAAAUAUAAUAAUAAAUAAGAUUUAAACAAUUAAUAUAAUAAUAUAUAAAAUAUAAAUUAAUCUAAGAGUAUUUUUAUAAUUUUCACUUCGAAAUGCAAAAGCCAAAAGCAGUAGGUUUUUGACUGCAAAAGCUAUGUGUUCUUCGUCACUUCUGCAGUGGAAAAACACUUCUGCAGUGUAAAAACACUUUUAACCCAAACAGGCUUUUUCACCACAGUAGAAAUAGAAAAAGGAAGGACCAAACAUUUUUUCUACCCUGUUUGUCUCCUCUUUGAAAAUACUUUCCAAAAAGUUUUUUUUUUUUUCUGUUUACAAUGCCUUAAAUGCUAAUUCCUUAUAGAGUGCUUUCUUUUGAUCCACUUGCAUCAUUGUAAUAAGUUUGCAUUGCCUUUUAACUUUCUAUGUUGAUUAUCUUUUAUUAAGUUUUCUGUUGGAUCUUAUAGUCAAAUUCCUUUACAUUAUGUAUGUUAAUUUGCUUAGCCAUGAUUAAUGUUAGAUAUAGGGUUAUCAGCUAAUUAGGAAAGACUGUGAUGAUAGUCACACCUUACAUCCAAAAGCAAAGCUUUUUAUAUGUGUAUGUAAGGUUGCUAAGCAAAUCUGAUGAGCCUUCACUGAUGUUUUCAGGUUAUGUUUAUGUUCCUUUUCGGCAAAGAACAUUAUCGAGAUCACAGUAUUUUGAUUGCCUUUUGCUUGUUAUGUUAUUCGUUCUGAAAAGCUUGCAUAAUCUUUACUGUGAUUGCAGGAUAUAGAGCAACUUUUGAAUUUCAUCGGUGUAAAGAGUUUAGGACCACGACAUGUUCUUGCAAAUUUGAAGGAGCUUCUAAGGUCUGUCCAGUCUUCAGAAUAUAUAGAUACCUGAAUUAAUUUUGAUUUUGUAGGAUCAACUAUAAUUAGCUACUUAUUAGAGAAUGAAUAGACAACCUGACCUUCUUCACACACGACACAUGUGCGGAUUUUUUACCAAUCCCAUUUCAUUAAAGAAAAAAAAGAGCUUUAAAAAAAGAUCACACUUUUUUGUUGUUUACAGAAUCAUAAUGUUAAUUAGAGUGGAAUAUUUCAGCUUUCUGAUGAUGAGCAUAAAUGGGUGUGGAACUUAUUUGAACUUUGAAUGUAUGUUUUGUUGGUGAGAAUAUAAAGUUGAUAAAGAUUUGGUAAAUAGAAUAAAAUACUAUUUUUUAUUAGAAAAAUAUUUGGUACACUGCCAAUCGAGUUAUAAUUAUCAUGACACAAUAUUAAGGGUAAGUAAAACAUGUCAUAUUACAAAUAAUAAAAUUAUAAUGACUCAAAUAUACGAACAUGUUAAAAUUUAUGUACAAAGAAUUAUUAACAUGUAAUGUAUAUUACGGUAAAUUUAUGUACAAAGAAAUUUAUGAACAUUGUGAAUUGUUUUAACAUGUUAAAAUUAAACAUGUUAAUUUCUUUGUACAUAAAUGUUAGAAUUAUUAACAUGUAAAUUGUUAUAACAUAUUAUACAAAAUACAUUGUGAAUUAAAGCAUAAUAUGAACAUGAUAUCAAAAUAUUAAUUUUUUUUAAAAAUUUGAUGAUACGAAUAAUUAUGUAAAAUAUAACAUGAUACAAAAUAACUUGAGAGGAAAAGAGGAAUAAAGAAUUGCAUUGUUUGUGAGGUUUUAAAAUAUUCCAGUUUUAGAUUCAAUUUUCUAAUAUGUUUGGUUUAAUUUUACAUUAGAUUUUCUUUUUAGUAUGCACUAGUGAACGCUUGGCAAUUAAUUUAAUUUAAUUUAAAGAGAUAUUGCAUAUACAUAAUAAUGGAUUAUGAUUUUACAUUAAAUUUCACAGAAAAAAAAGAAAUAGAUGGUUGAAAAUGAUAAAACCAUAAGAUAAAAGAGCUUUUAUUCAAAAUGCAAAAAUCAACAAAAUUCAUUAUCGCUCAACUUAGCAUAAUUAAACAUUUAGGUGUGGAAAUCAAAUCACAAUUUGAGUAGCUAAACACAUCGCUUGAAAAUGUGAUAAGUAAGAAAAUUGCCCACAUUUGAGUAGCGACAGGUGGUAAUGCAUUUCCCAACAAGAGAAAACCAAGCUCUUCGCCAGUAUGGAUUUAUGUAGAGGACAACAAAAAUUGUCAACAAUACAACUACAUAAGAAACCAAAAAGCUCACACAAAAAUCAUAAGUAUCUAUCAAACCAUCUUCUCCUUUAUCUUCUGAUACAGUUGAUAUCGUUGAUGGUGAAUCGGUUUUGGAACAACUUUUAUGCAAUAUAACUCCACAAAGAAACGGAUUUCCCUCAUAACUAUUUUCAAUAAAGGUCCCAAAUUGAGCUUUUGGUUCGGGAAUACUACCUGACAAGUUGUUAAAUGCCACGCUGAAAACCUCCAAAGAGUUCAACUCCACCAAUGGAUUGGGGAUUUCACCACUCAAGUUGUUGUAAGAAAGGUCCAAACUCUCAAUUUGAUGAAGUUUUGAGAAUGACGAGGGUAUAACUCCGGUCAACUUAUUGUGUGAAAGGUUUAAAGAAUGGAUUUCACUCAAGUUCCCUAAUUCUGGUGGGAUAUGACCAGUUAAGUUGUUGCAAGAUAAAUCAAUCCCGGUCAUAUAUGAAAGGAUGUUGCCCUUGUACAAAAAGAGCCCACUCUUUGUUGUGAACUCUAUUACUUCUUCUAAGUAGCUAUCAGGAUAGUAAGAAUCCAUUGGUGUUGUUUCAUGCUCUUCUAUAAAUGUCACAUAGAACCCAGUUUCUAGAAUCUUGUUCGUUUGCAUUGGAAGAGAUAAAUUUCCCAAACAAGAAGGUAUAGGACCAGAAAACAUAUUUUGAGAAAGAUAUAUGAUGCUUAAAGAAUGCAACUUGCAUAACUCAACAGGAACUUUACCAUGAAAAUGAUUAUCUUUCAAGAGAAGAACACUCAAAGAAGAAAGUGUGUAAAUCCAUUUUGGAAUACUACCUGUCAAAUUGUUUCCUCUAAGAUCUAAAGUCACUAUCGAAGAGCUAUUAUAAAAAGCAAGUGAUAGUGGGCCUCUCAGUCUAUUCCCUUGGAGGUGGACAUGCUCUAUGUAUGGUGGAUUAAAACAUGACGGUAUAGAGCCAGAUAAAUUAUUUUGAGAAAGAUCCAAAAAUUCCAACCUAUUCAACUUGCAAAAUUCCAUUGGAAUAGAACCCUCAAAACUAUUGUUGGACAUAGCUAAUCUCCCCAAAAAAUGCGUUAAUUAAAAUUCAAUUCCACUCAGAAAACUUUACUAGAGAAAAAAUUUCUUUACAUAAAAUGUCUAUAAAUAAGGCUUUGCCCUAACACUUAGAACUUUAAUCUCCCUAAGUAAUGAUGCCAACUUCUUCAAAAAGGUUGGAACAUUAGCAGCUCUUGAAUAGGCUUUGUCCGCUUGAAUUUUUGAACAACGAAGCAAUGCCGUGUAUUCCUCCACUGUAGGCACUAAAUCAACACUUCCAAAGGUGAAACAACAAUAAGCAGAAUUCCAAAAUUGGGCUAAGGCACGGAACAGACGCUUAUCCACCUUUACGUCGAGCAAGUAUGGUAGGUCUCCAUAGCUAGAGUAGAAGAGUUGCUUAAUCUCAUCAUUCCACUGAUCCCAAAUUUCCUUUAGUUCCUGUAGGCUAUUCUGAGUCACGCUAACACGAGUGAAGUCCCACAACUCUGACACAUACCCCUCGGCCAAACUAUCACCUUUCUCUUGUUGUAUUGUCUCAGACCAAGUUUGGACAGCCGCAUUAUCUUCCACCUUAUCAAGAAACCCUUUUUCCAUGAUAAGCUUUCUAUCUAGCAACCGAAUAUGAACUAACGCCCUUUUAGGAUGAAAUGCUAUGCAAUCAUGAUGUCAUGUAAUCAAAACAAAAGAAACCCAAGUCAGUAUCACAUAUAGAGAUAUAAACAAACAUAAAAUAGCAAGAAACACUUAAUCAGGAAUCCACUAGGGUUUUGGGAUAGUUCUACCUGGGUCAAGUUCCUAAGGCUCACUAUAUGAGGCUUAGUUUCUAGAGUAAGGGCACCCGAACCAAUAGAUUCCUCGAUCUUCACCCAUUAUAGGCUCAUAUAGAUCGAGUUCAGUUCAGGGGGAUACAUUUCCCUAUGGCUGCACGGAGAUGAAAAUCUCACGAAGACAUAAGUACGGAUGUAUCCCGAAAGCGGUCCACUACCUUGAACGGAGGUGAAAACCUCACGAAGGACUAGUUUCUCGCUCCCACUUAAAGGGUAAAAUGCACAAUGCAAAUGCAAAGUUUCCAACAUACCAAGAUAAAAAAAAUGCGAAGGGAACUCAUGUAUUUUUUAAAACUUUUGAUUUUCGACACAAAAACAAAUAUAAUCAGUUUAUGGCUCGACUCUCAAGUCCCCAGCGGAGUCGCCAAGCUGUCGAAACCAUUUUUUUGAAAACAAAAAUUUUAGUGUCGACUUAAAAAUAAAAACUGGAGUCGCCACCGAUCCUUUAUUAAGGUGUGAUCGGCUCACCUCAAAAAUUAUUUUGGUCUACGAAUUUCGAGAAAACGAGUUCGGGAGUCAGUUACGCACGAGGAAGGGUUAGCACCCUCGUAACGCCCAAAAUCGAUACCAAAUCAAUUAUUUGAUGUCUUAGUGUCGAAGGCUAAAAUAUUUUAAAAUCAACUUAAAUGAUGAAAUUUGAAAAGAAAAAAAACGAUAAUCAAUUGUCCGAGUCAUGUAAAGAAAUCGAGUCCCAAUACGUUAGGGUACUAUUCCUCAUCAUCCUCGAACUUUGAAUAUCACUUUUAUUUUAUGCGAAAAUCUUCAUUUCGAGAAGGUAACAUGCCACGCCCAAUACGUUAGGGCACGGCAAAUUAAGUUCCCAAAAUGAUUUUUUGGUGCUCGUAUUUAAAAUAAAGAAUAUUCUUGAUUAUUUGAAAUCAACAAAGAAAACCGGAACCCAAUACGUUAGGGCUCAAUUUUCCUUGAAAAUCCCAAAACCUUGAGUAUUGUUUUUAUAUACAAAAAACCUUCGAAUCAAGAAAAUAACUUUGAUGUACGGUUAAAACCAUAAUAUAUUUUCAAAAAGGGGUAUAUCAAAAGUUAAUGUAUAAUAUGAAGCAAAAACUUUAAUUUAGAACGUAUAUGAAUACAUAUUUGCAAACAUAUACAAAUACAAUAUAACGAUAAAGCUGCAAACAUGAGUAUGCACACAUUUAACACUCAUAUACAAACAUACAUACGUAAAAAACAAAUGAAAUAUGUAAGGCGAAAGACUUAUAAUAAUCUCGAAAACUAUGCAUGAAUACAUAAAUAUAUGAAAAUAAGACAAAAGUAUAAGAAUACGCAUAUGUGCAUCUAUUUACAAAAGAAAAUAAAAUGGUAUAAGUAUAUGUGCAUUGGUAAGGUACGAAAUUAUGUAAAAAUACUUAUAUGUAUGUACAGUAUGUAUACAAAAAAAAUGAAAUAGAAUAGUAAAAAAAUAUUUUUUGAAAAAUGUAUAUAUUAUAGGAAAUGAAUGUAUAUUUUAGAAUAUGUAUGUAUAAAAAAAAUUAGGAAGAAUAAUAUAUAUAUAUAUAUAAAUGCGUAUACAUAUUUACAAAUGUAAAGAAAAAUAUUUGAAACUAAAAAUAUAAAAGCAUAUAUAUAGAAGUUGAAAAAAAUAAAAAAAAACACAUGUAUAAAGUAUAUAGGUAGGCACGUAAUGUAAAACAUGCAUAUAUAUGUAUAUAUAUUAUAUAAAGAAAAUAAUAUGUGAAUACUAUAUAAGGAAAAUGCAUAUAUAUAUUAUAUAAAAAAAUGCAUUUGAAUGAACAUAGAGAUAAUGAUAGUAACAAGGAUAAUAUAUAAUAUAAUAAUAAUGUUUUUUUUAACAAAAAUAAAUAAAUAAAUAAAUAAACAAAUAAAUAAAUAAAAAUAGUUCAAAAAGAAAAAGUGGAUUAAAUUGAACAAAAGACGAAAAAAUGGGGCAAAUUUAAAAACAAUAAAAAAAUCAAUUCAAACACGCGAGCGAUAAUGGGGGACUAAAAAGGAAAUAAUUCCUUCCCUUCCAAAACGCUGCGCAAUGUGGUAUCAAAUUGAAAUAAAAAUGAAAUUCGCGGCCCAAAUUUUAAAACAAAUAAAAAGGGUUUAAUUGACACGUGCUGCAAAAGAGAGGGGCUAACUGCGCAAAUUCCCCACCUGACGUCAGAGCGCGUGGAUCCUCCCCUUCGGGUCGGGUCACCGCGCAGGUCAGGCCUGGGAAAACGGCGCCGUUUUGAUCCGUUAUUUAAAUCAAUUUCCUUCCUCUAAAAUCAUUUGAAAAUUGAGUAAAAGAAAAAAAUAAAAAGAAAAAGAAAAAACGCCCUCUGUUAGGGUUUCGUUUUUUUGGCCCCUUUUUGCACCACCGCCGCAACUGGUCUCCGCCGCGCUUUCGCCGAUCGGAGAUGCGACGCGAUGGGCUCCGAAGGUAAAUUUCUUCCCUUUGUUUUUGAUAAAAGAAAAGAAAAGAAAAGAAAAGAAAAUAGGCUAAUUAAAUAAAACGCAAAUCACCUUUAAACAAAACUUUGUAUUCUCAAUAUUUUUUCCUUUUGUAUUUCUCUGUAUUUCUUUUUGAUUUUUUCUAUCCCCCUGCCUUUUUUACAGAUUUUCAAAGGCUUUUAUAGCCCGAAAAAGAAAAAUAAAAUCGCAUCUAUCUAUUAUUUUGCUGUUUUCUCUCUGUUGGACUCUUUGAGUUCGUUUUGUUUGCAGGUGUCGUGCGAGCGAACGGCGCACGUUGAGAGGCCAGCCCCGAGAUGUGUGGCGCUUGGGACGUCUGCUGGUGACUGCUAGGGGCUUGCGGCGCUAAACAUGAAGCUAGGGUUUGGGAAAUUUGGGUGUUAGUUAUUGGGCUAGGGUAAUUUAGGUUAUUGGGUUUGUAUCUGUUGAUGAUAUUGGGCCAUGUAAAUGGGCUCUUUAUUUGGAUUUUCUUUCUGUUUUGGUUUAUUAUUAUUUUUACCAGGCAACAAUUGGUAUUACAUAUUCAUUAUUAUACUUCAAACGAAACAAGUACGCUUUGUUCAAAGUAUUAUACUCGCGAUUGAUCAAAAGAGAAUUUUUUUUUAAAAAAAAUAAGACAAUGUUUUGUUUUUAGAAAUUCGAGAAAGUCGUGCCCUAACUUACGGGGUUCCUAUUUUCUCGUAAAAAUCUAAACGACCAAACAUCCUUCGAAUUUAAAAUACCCAAGUUUUAAUUAAAGGCAAACUUAUGUGUCGUCAUUGGAACCUCGAGAAAUCAUGCCCUAACUUAUAGGGUUUUGAUUUUCUCGUCGAACCAAAACGACUAAAUUUUUUUAUUAUUUCAAAAUAUACGGAUUUUUAAUAAAAUUAAAGGCGAGCUUGCACUCAAGGGUUCAAAUGUUGUAUCCUAACUUAUGGGAUACGACAUUUUGUUAUCCGCGAGACGAGCAAGUCUUUUAUACUCGUUAAAAUUUAUUCAAGUUUUUUAAAAUAAUAUUGAUAAAAAGGGGAAUCGUAUUUUAAAAUCUUUUCGGAUUUUCGACAUUCAACUUUAAGACAUCAAUUAAUCAAUUCAUUACCAAUUUUGGGCGUCACGAGGGUGCUAAUCCUUCCUCGCACGUAACCGACUCCCGAACCUAUUUUUUCUGAAUAUCGUAGACCAAAAUCUUUAAAAUUACAAGGUGAUCCGAUUACACCUCCAUAAAAGAUCGGUGGUGACUCCAAUCUUUGUUUUCUAAAAUCGACAACUAUUUCCUUUUCAAAAAAUGGUUUCGACAUUUAUUAUUAAAAGAAUUAUAUAUUUUAAGCUAUCAAGAUUGACUAGGCUUGAAAUUUAAUUUAUUUUCAUAUACAAUAUUUUAGCUAGAUUUGAGUUUUAACUUGAAAUUUUUAUUGUCUGUUGACACAUUUGAAGACAAAGUUGGUUCUGUGGUUGAAAUAGUGGUCAUACCUUUAGGCGUUAUUUCAUUGUCUUACUUGCCUAUUUUAAGACUUGGGAAAUUUUAAAACAAAAGCUUUAAACUAUUGGUUUUGAAGAUAUUUGGAUGAGUAAAGCUAAUAACAUGAAAAUCAAUUGGGUUGAAAUUAAAUUGGAGAGUGGUUUCUUACUACCAAAGUAAAAUGCUUGUCAAACAAGGAAAGUCUCUUUUCAUAGUUUGAAGGCAUUGGAUUGAAUUGGAACUCUUAUGAAGUAAUAUCUUAUGCUAGUUUUUAGCUUCUUUAUAAAGAAUUGUUUAGAUUGUAAUUCUAAUGUAAACACAAGUUAAGUAGUAUACAAACUUAAGUUUUGCCAAGCUUAAGAGACAAAUCAAGAGGCUAAGAACUUGAUAGAGUACAAAGUUGUUCAAGGAAUUGUUUAUGGGUGCAUUAUUUUUAUAAGUAAUCAAGAGAGUUUCUUGAGCUGCAAAACUAAAAUUUCAAGGGGUAAGCUUAGAGGGAGAGUGAUCUAGUCUUUGUACAAUGAUAAGGUCACUAAAUUGGUGAGUGUUAAACCAUUGUUAGGAUUUAAAUCAUUUGUUGUACUGUGAGAAAGAUAAUGGACUAUUGUUUUGGGAAAGACUUUACAAAUGUAGAUUGAAGUUGAACUGCGUAAACAAUCUUGGAUAUCUUUAUAUUUUAUGUAUUUAGUUUCAGUUUGCAAAGCAAGUACCCCUCGUUUCUACAUUAUCUUAAUCAAUAAUAUAUCCUAAUUAAAUUAAAUUUUGAAAUAUUAAUAAUAAAUUUAAUUAAGAUGUAUGAACUUAUUGAACACUCCGGUUAGUGCUUGGUUUUCAAUGUUGUCGUUUGUAGUUGACAUUUCAACCAAAAGUACGACUUGGACAUAAUAUCGUGUAAUUUGGGUCAUAAGAAUUUUCCCUCCUAUUAAUUAUUAUUAUCAAAUAUUAGGUUUAAAUAUUUUAUGAUUUUUUAAUAGAACGAUUUGUGUUACUUAUGAUUUUGUUUAAGUUUGUGUUUACUUUGUUAAAUAUAAUUUAUGGAUGUGAUAUAAUUCAAAUUUCAAGGUUGAUUUGAUAAAAAAAUAUGGUUUAGAUUCGAAAUUGUUAAUUAAAUAAUUAAAAAGUUAACAUUGUUAUUUUUAUGUAUCAAAGUGUAUAACUUUUUUCAAAUACAUGUAUGAAAUUGAACAAAAAAUAGUAUAGGUACCACAUUAAAAAAAAACAAAUCCAAUACCUAGUCAUCGGUCGUGUUGUACCAAGCCGAUGCAAAAUGUUAGGCCCAUUUACUAGGCUUGUAAGCCCAUUUGCUAGGCUUGGACUCGACCUGAAAAAUGAGUUUAAAAUUUUGCCUAAGCCUAGUCAAGAUAAAAAAAAAAAGUUAAACUUAAGCCCAGCUCGGCCCGCCUGUAUCAACUUUCUUUAGAUUAUUUUUUAUAUAAAAAUAAAUUUAAAACAUUAAAAUAAGGUUUCUCAACGAAUUGAAAAUAUAUUUUUUUAUACUUAAAUAACACUAACAUAGUUGCAACUUAACAAACAAAUGCCUCUAAAAUAGUAACAAAAUUAACAAUAAAAUAAGAGUUAUGCAAUAUCCAAAACAAUAACACUCGAUAUUAAAAUAUUAAUAAUUUUUUAAAUAUAUAAAAUAUAACAUGAUACAAAAUAACUUGAGAGGGAAAGGGGAAUACAAAAUUGCAUUGUUUUGGAGGUACGUUUUAAAAGAUUCAUUUCUCUAGUGUGUUUGGUUUGAUUUUACAUUAGAUUUCUUUUUAGUUAUGCAUUAGUGAACAUUUGUCCGUAAAUCUAAUUUAAUUCAAAGAGCUAUUGCAUUUACAUCAUAAUAGAUUUUUUUUUUUACUUUAAAUUUCAUUAAAAUAAAAGAGAGAAAUAGAUAGUUGAAAAAUUAUAAAAUCCAAAGAUAAAGAGUUUUUAUUCAAAAAUGCAAAAAUCAACAAAAUAUUCCUUAGCGCUCAACUUAGCACACUUAAAUAUUUAGGUAAAAUAUGAGAGGGUUCGGGUAAAAAUAUAAGCCCAAAAUAUGGGUUUGGGCAAAAAACGAGGCCCGUUUAGAAAACGGGCCGGACCUCGGGAAAUUUUUUUUCCCAAAUAUAAUAAAUAUAUAUAUAUUUUAAAUAAAUUUCUCAUUUCCCCUCCCCAUUUCCCAUUUCCUAUUUCCCUAAGCCAUUCCCUCCCCCUUUUUUAUUUUUAUUUUAAAAUUUUUAGUUUUUAUAUUUAAUAUUUUAAAUUUAAAUUUUAAUUAUUAGUAUUGUUAAAUUUGUUGAUAUGAUAUUUCAUGAGCAAGGGUUCUACUCUAAAAUAAAAAUAAAAAUUCUUUUUUAAACUCUUUAUAAUUUAUAAAAUUUUAAAAUAGUAAUGGUAAAAUUACAUUUUGCCCCUCAAAUAAUAAAAAAAGUUAAUUUAAUCUUUUAAAAAUUAUAAAAAUAUAGGUUAUUAAAAUGGUAAAAUCAAUUUUUUCUAUCAUAAAAAAGGGUCGGGUUGGGCCGGGCUUAGUAUUUUUCCCCGGGCCACCGGGCCUAGGAAAUGGGCUGAAAUUUUUUUCUGGGUCUGGCCCGAACCCAGCCACCUCUACAUCUAUGUAUAUGGUAAAAUGCAUUUUUGGUAAGUAUUUUAAUAUUCGGUUAAAUUCGUUUGAGGUAUAUAUAUGGUGAUAAUCCAACACAAAAACACCCUUUGCUCAAAAUAGACUUUUCAUUUUUGGUGAAGUAUUUUAAUAUUCGGUUAAUUUAUAUUUUUGUACCCGCAAGUCAUUCGAAUUCGACUCAAAAAUUUUAUUAAUGUAUUCGGUAAAUGAAUAAUAACACCAAAUUUCAUUAAUGUUAGUUUGUCUCUUUUCGGGAUCAAAGAUAAAUAAUAAAUUUUAUAAAGUUAAAACUAUAACUUUUUAAUUAUAUUAAAAUAUAAUUUCAUAAAUUUCUUUAAAAAAAUGGUGUCUUUUAAAUUUUUAAUUAAAGUAGUAAUUCAUUAACUCAAAAUAUUGAUUUUUUUUAUUUCUCAAAAAUAUUAGCGUAAAUAUGAUAAUUAAUCUUUCGUACUCUAUCAUCUAGGUAUUGGUAAAGUCAAAUCCAACUUGAUUGACCAAAAAAGUUUAUGUGGUGUAGAAAAUUUUAGUUUUGUGGAAAAAAGGAUGUUCUACGAACUAAUUGGCGGCGGUCACAUUGGGUUUGGGAAUUUUAAACCUUUGAAAUUUGAUUGCAAAAACGUAUACGUACACAAUUUUAUUUCUUGAAAUUUUAAUAUUUUCUUUGAUACUGUUAAAAUGAUAGUUAUGAAUAUUAAGGAUAUAUAUAUAUAUUUUAUAUUUUUUCUUGGUUUUUCAUGCAAUAUGAGUAGAUUUCAAUUUUUUAAUGAUAACAUUAUAUACCGCACUAAAAUAAAAAAAAUAUAAUAUUUAGAAUUAUUCAUAAUUUCUCCCGAAUUUUUAAAUAGAAUGAUAAACAACUCGAAUCCACAUUUUCAUGUAUUGACAAUAAUAUUAAUACCAAUCAAACAAGAUUCAAUUAGCAAAAUAAAAAUAUGAAUAUCCGAAAGUUUUUAUAAUUUUUGUGUUGAUUUAUUAUUAAAAAAUUAUAUAUUUUAAGUUAUGACUAGGCUUGAAAUUUAAUUAUACAAUAUUUUAGCUAGGUUUGAGUUUUAAAUUGAAAUUUUUAUUAUCAGUUGAAGGUUGAUUCUAUGGUUGAUUGUGUGCUUGAAACAAUAGUCACUUCUUUAGGUAUUGCUUCAUUGUCUUACUUGUUCAUUUUAAGAUUACGUUAUUGAUUUUUGAAAAUAAGAGUUGAUAAAUUUUAGAAUAAAAGCCUUACGUUAUUAAAUUUUAGAGGGAGAGUAUCUAGUCUUUGUACGACGGUGAGAUCGGUAAAUUGGUGAGUGUUAGACCUAGUUAAGACUUAAAUAAUUAGUUGCACUACGAGAAAGAUAGUGAACCAUUGCUCUGGGCAAGACUCCACAGAUAUAGACUCGGUAGCGGAUCCAAAAAUACGACUUAGGGGGACAAACUUUAAAAAGGGGUUGGUGUUUUUUUGGGGGGGUUUAGGGGGGCAAAAUUUAAAUUUUUAGGGGGUUUAAUGUAAUAAAGUUGAUCUUAAGGAGGUGCUAUGUAAAUUUCUAAAACAUUGCCCCCACCUGCCCCCCUUUAUAUCCAUCAAUGUGUAGAACAAAAUCAAACUACAUAAAUAAUCUCGGUGUUCAUUGUUGACACCAUUUUUUUGACAAAAUGGGGUCAACUUGGGUUUUGAAAAAUGAAAACAAAAAUGGGAGUCGCCACCAAUCUUUUUUGAUAAGGUGUGAUCGGGUUACCUCGUAAAACGGUUGUUUUUAAUAAACGGUUUAGGUUUAUUAAAACAAUGCUUUUGGUCUACAAAAUUCAAAAAAAUAGGUUCGAGAGUCGGUUACGCACGAGGAAGGAUUAGCACCCUCGUAACGCCUAAAAUUGGUACCUAGUUGAUUAAUUAAUGUCUUAGUGUCGAAGAUUGAAAACUUUGAAGAAUUUUAAAAAUACGAUCCUAAAAAUUUUCGAACAAUAUGGGUUGGAAUUUAGGAUUCUCUUGUUCCGAAAGAAUAUCACAUCUAGCACAUUAGGAUGCGAUACUUUAAACUGUCGAAACCAAUAUCACCUUAUGGUUUCCAAAACCCAUACUUUGAAACUUUAAGAGGGUAUUUGGAUAUUUGGCUUUUAUUCAAAAUGCAAAAAUCAACAAAAUAUUCAUUAUCGCUCAACUUAGCAUAAUUAAACAUUUAGGUGUGGAAAUCAAAUCACAAUUUGAGUAGCUAAACACAUCGCUUGAAAAUGUGAUAAGUAAGAAAAUUGCCCACAUUUGAGUAGCGACAGGUGGUAAUGCAUUUCCCAACAAGAGAAAACCAAGCUCUUCGCCAGUAUGGAUUUAUGUAGAGGACAACAAAAAUUGUCAACGACACAACUACAUAAGAAACCAAAAAGCUCACACAAAAAUCAUAAGUAUCUAUCAAACCAUCUUCUCCUUUAUCUUCUGAUACAGUUGAUAUUGUUGAUGGUGAAUCGGUUUUGGAACAACUUUUAUGCAGUAUAGGUCCACAAAGAAAAGGGUUUCCUUCAUAACUGUUUUCAAUAAAGGUCCCAAAUUGAGCUUUUGGUUCGGGAAUACUACCAGACAAGUUGUUGUAUGCCACACUAAAAACCUCCAAAGAGUUCAACUCUACCAACUGAUUGGGGAUUUCACCACUCAAGUUGUUGUAAGAAAGGUCCAAACUCUCAAUUUGAUGAAGUUUUGCAAAUGACGAGGGUAUAACUCCGGUCAACUUAUUGUGUGAAAGGUUUAAAGAAUAGAUUUCACUCAAGUUCCCUAAUUCUGAUGGGAUAUGACCAGUUAAGUUGUUGCAAGAUAAAUCAAUCCCGGUCAUAUAUGAAAGGAUGUUGCCCUCGUACAAAAAGAGCCCACUCUUUGUUGUGAACUCUAUUACUUCUUCUAAGUAGCUAUCAGGAUAGUAAGAAUCCAUUCCAAAAUUUAGUGUUGUUUCAUGCUCUUCUAUAGAUGGCCCAUAGAACCCAAUUUCUAGAAUCUUCUUCCUUUGCAUUGGAAGAGAUAAAUUUCCCAAACAAGAAGGUAUAGGACCAGAAAACAUAUUUUGAGAAAGAUCUAUGAUGCUUAAAGAAUGCAACUUGCAUAACUCAACAGGAACUUUACCAUGAAAAUGAUUAUCUUUCAAGAGAAGAACACUCAAAGAAGAAAGCGUGUAAAUCCAUUUUGGAAUACUACCUGUCAAAUUGUUUCCUCUAAGAUCUAAAGUCACUAUUGAAGAGCUAUUAUAAAAAGCAAGUGAUAGUGGGCCUCUCAGUCUAUUCCCGUGGAGGUGGACA